rnacentral:lncRNA from 1 species
UCACACAACCCAUGUAAUACAUAAGGGAAAGAGAUACAUAGUUGGCUUACAAUCGCCACUUCACACAAUUACAUGAAUAAAGCAUUACAUCAUCCAGAUACAAUCAAGGUCCGACCACGGAACCAAAGUAAAAUAAGACUACCCCAAAUGCUACACAGAUCCCCGAUCAUCCCGACUGGGCUCCACUACUGAUCAAAUAGAUCGAAACAAGACAAAGGACAAGAACUUCAUCGAACUCCUCCUUGAGCUUGGUUGCGUCAUCUGCAUGGUAUCCUCGGCACCUGCAAGCUGGUUUUGGAAGUAACUGUGAGUCACGGGGACUCAGCAAUCUCACACCCUCGCGAUCAAGACUAUUUAAGCUUAUAGGAAGGGUAAAAGGUAUAAGGUGGAGCUACAGCAAGCGACUAGCAUAUAUGGUGGCUAACAUAGGCAAAUGAGAGCGAGAAGAGAAGGCAAAAGCACGAUUGAACAACUAUGAUCAAGAAGUGAUCCUAGAACAACCUACGUCAAGCAUUACUCCAACACCGUCUUCACUUCCCGGACCCCGCCGAGAAGAGACCAUCACGGUAACACACAUGGUUGAUGUAUUUUAAUUAAGGUCAACUUCAGGUUUUCUACAACCGGACAUUAACAAAUUCCCAUCUGCCCAUAACUGCGGGCACGACUUUCGAAAGUUCAAAUCCCUGCAGGGGUGUCCCAACUUAGCCCAUCACAAGCUCUCACGGUCAACGAAGGAUAUUCCUUCUCCCAAGACAAUCUGAUCAGGCUCGGCAUCCAGGUUACAAGACAUCUUCGACAAUGGUAAAACAAGUCCAGCAACACCGCCCGAAUGUGCCAACAAAUCCCGAUAGGAGCUGCACAUAUCUCGUUCUCAGGGCACACUCAGAUGAGACAUCCUACGAGUACAACCAACCCUCAAGUUGCCCCGAGGUGGCCCCGCAGUCUACUCUAUCGGACCAACACUCAGAGGAGCACUGGCCCGACGGGUUAAAAUAAUGAUGACCCUUGAGUCUGCAGAACCCAAGGGAAAGAAAAUGCUGGGUGGCGAAUGGUAAAACCAAUGUUGGGCAUUGCUGGAGGAGUUUUAUUCAAGGCGAACUGUCAAGGGGUUCCCAUUAUAACCGAACCGCGUAAGGAACGCAAAAUCCGGGAACAUGACACCGAUAUGACGGAAACAAGGGCGGCAAGAGUGGAACAAAACACCAGGCAUAAGGCCGAGCCUUCCACCCUUUACCAAGUAUAUAGAUGCUUUAAGUAUAUAAGAGGUAUUGUGAUAUCCCAACAAAAUAUCCAUGUUCCAACAUGGAACAAGCUCCAAUCUUCACCUGCAACUAACAACACUAUAAGAGGGGCUGAGCAAAGCGGUAACAUAGCCAAACAACGGUUUGCUAGGACCAGGUGGGUUAGAGGCUUGGCUUCACAAUAUGGGAGGCAUGAUAAGCAAGUGGUAGGAAUCGCAGCAUAGGCAUAGAAAAAAGAGCGAGCAACUAGCAAGCAAAGAUAGAAGUGAUUUCAAGGGUAUGGUCAUCUUGCCUGAAAUCCCGCAAGGAAGAGAACGAGUCCAUGAAGAAGACAAACGGACGUAGUCGAACGGAUCCUCACAAGCGCAACGUUACUGGAUAACCGAGAAGAAGUACACCGGAAAGAAAGCAAACAACAUAGUAAACAAGCACGACAUGAACAUGGCAUGAUGCACAAUCAAGUAUGAUGCAUGUCCGGUUUAAUGAAGCAUGGCAUGGCAAAAGUGCACAAGCAAUCCUACAAAUUAAGUGGAGCUCAAUAUGCAACUCCGUUGCAUAUUGACGAAACACCACGUGACUUAUUUAGUUUGAUCUCGUUUAUGAACUCAUCAAUAUUAAAUGUUGUUUAGCAUGGCAAGGGGUGAAGCAAAGUAAAACUACCUAUCUAGUCAAGGUUAAAUGAGGCCGGAAGCAACGAACUACAAAUCCGGAAACUCCUCAUGUGCAUAAAUUAGAUUUGGUACUGUUCUGCCCUAACACAAUUUUAGGGUUGUUAAACAUGCAAGAUGAAAGCACCAUGUUAAACUAGGCAUUUUUCUACCCCAUUUACAUAUAAAGUUUGUUUAGAACCGAGCUACGGUUAAUUAGUUAUGAAUCAAAACAUUUUAACAAGUUAUUUAAGCAAAUUUAAACAAACAUCAGUUUAAACAUUUUAAACAUAGAUGAAAGUUGCAAAUUAUUAAACUAGACAAAAUUCUAAGCAACUUUCAUAUAUAAUUUAUUUAGAUCCGAUGCACGGUUGUGAAGUUAUUAAAUGCAUGAAGAACAGGGGCUUAUCUUCAAAGCUAUCUUUCUCUAGAAAUUAGACAAAAUUCUCAGCAGGAAAAAAAGGCACCUCGGGCCGAAUCUGUUGGCCCAACAACAGAAAAAAAACAGAGGGGCUUCGGCGGGGUGGCCUCACCAUGGGCUUUGGCCCAGCUGGAGAGAAAGGAGGCCGGUUGCUGGGCCUGCAGCGGUGUGGCCUAGUUCGGUGGAUCUGGAGGUGGAUGGGCCACUCCAGAUCGAGGCGACUCCAGAUCAAGGCGACUCCAGAUCGAGGAGAGGCCGGGUCCAGGCGAAGUCAAUGCGGGCGAGGUCUUCGCUCUCUCGAAGGAAACAGAGGAUGCAGCGCCAGGGGCCGAGGCGAUGCAGACAAGGGUCAACGACGGCGGCGCGACGCGGUAGGAGCUCCGGCGAGGUGGUGGAGACCGGCGGAAGGGAAGCUUGUUCCUGAUGGCGGAGAGGGAGAAUCCAGUCCAGAACAGGGCCGGACGCGAACUUGAAUGGCGGCGCAGGUCCAUGGCGUGGGGCAGGGAGGCACUUCUCUUCGUCCUCCCGCUCGAUGCAGAGGAGGCGAUGUCGCGGGACUGCGGGGCUCCGGCGAAAGGGACUUGCGGAGGAGGCUGAUCCGGCGGGGAUCCGAAAGGUGGCGACAAGGACAAACGGUGGCCACGGCGGUCUCCUGGCAUCGGGGAGCUCGGCUCCGUCGCCCAAAAUCUCUACACACAGAGAAAGGACGGAGAGAGCAGCGGGAUGAGCGCGGGGAAAAGGGAGCAAGGAAAAGAGAAGAGGCGCCGCGCGACUGGCCUGGUUGAUGACGAUGAUGCCCUAGGUGGCGCAUGGUGGAACUCAUGCGCCUGGUUGCUGCUCAUGGUGGCCUCCAGCCAAGUAGACGGCGAUGCACGGGCGGGAAGGAGCAGAGGAGAGGUUCGGACGCAGAGAUGGCUGGGGAUCGAGCCUCCUGCUCGAUCGGUAGACGGGCACGAUGACGAAUCGAAAGGAGGAGGUGGAGGCUUUUGGUUGGUGUGGCGGUGAACACGAGGAGGUGAUGGAAUGGGUUCGAGGGAAGGGGAUCCCGAGGUGGAUCUAGGAGCGGCGGCGGCUGCUGAGAGGAUGGGACAAGGUUCCUGAUUAUUAGGGUUGGACCUAGUAUAUAUAUGGCCGGUGGAUUAAGUUAGGGGCUAUCGGAUCCCUCCGAUCGUAAUCGGACGGUCGCGAAUAAAAUAGCUAGGGAGUCCAAAUAAGAAAACGGUGACGUUUUGUAGACGUUUGGAGAUGAUCCAGACACAACGGUGAUGACUCCCCGGGUCGGGUUUGGGACAACUUUCGGACGCGCGCGAGGGGGGCUACGGGCUGACGAGAGAGGUUAGGUUGGACCUGGCGGUAGGUAGUAAGAUGUGUAGACGGUAUCGAGCUGAGAGAAGAGAAGAGAGGGAGGCCCAGCAACUGUUUCCGGAGACCGAAAACGUUCGACGUUAGACCGGCUAUAUGCCGCUAUAGUUUAACGGUUGGGCUAUCAAACGAACUCCGAAUGCGAUGAAACUUGACAGGCGGUCUAUCUACACCAUAAUAAGACCGCACGUCAACUUUCAUCCCAUUCCGAGAACAUUUUUCGACCACUUACAAAAUACUAUUUCGGACAUGCCGCGGGCGCGUGCGAGUGUGUCUGGGCUCAAAACGGACAAUGGAAGGAACUGGGAUACCCGGACGGAUGCAAGUUUUUAAAACAUGAUGAUGCAAUGCACAUGAUGACAUGACAAGAUGCGACACGCAAGCGAAUGACAAGGCAACAACAGUGAAUAACUGGCGGACACCUGGCACAUCGGUCUCGGGGCGUCACAACGCUCCACCACUACGAGAGGAUCUCGUCCCGAGAUCUAGGAUGGCACCAGAGGGAAAAAACGGAAGAGGAAGAUAAGCGGUAAAAACUAAGUUGCUUCUUUGACAAAUGAGUGAAACCAAAGAACCUUGAAAAGUUGAACAACUUGAAAGGAAUAAUACCACGGAGGUGAUUGAAGUUGAAAAAAAACAGUCCGAUAGGAACGAGGAACAAGGAAGACCAAAUUAAGACAGCACUCCGUUUGAAAAGUGAUAUGAACUUGAUAAGAUGAAAAGAACUAGAGCAGAGGACACGACACUCCGGAACAAAAGUGACAAAGGACUGUAAUGAACGAAGGGAAACAAGAUCUUGAGAGAGCAUGAUCUUAGAUAAGCAAAUGAAAGAACAUGAUCUGACAAAACAAGAAGAUGGGUUGAAGACAGCAACAAUACAAUGCCUCCGGAACAAAAGGGACAAAGGACUGUAAUGAACGAAGGGAAACAAGAUCUUGAGAGAGCACGCUUACAAUAAAUGCUAGAACGGAAUUGUAGGAUUAUCAACAACGAAAAGAUAAGCUUGAAGUGGGCUUAUGGAAAACAUCUCAAAAUUAUGAGGUGAAAUUCUGCCACAAACGGAAAAGAUUUGAUUGGGAGCUAGAAAAAUAUAGAAAUCUUCUUCCACCGAGGUGAUAAGGAUAAAACUUGGAUCAUAGAUAAUAACCACAAAGAGCAACAUUCCCAAUGGAAGGCUUUAGGUGAAAUAUGACCCAAGAUAACUCCAAUGAAGAGAUUGAUGGAUUGCAAAGGAUCUCAUGAAAGAAAUGAAAAAAGAUGGGUUUAAAAUAUAUCAUUCGGGACAACUUUUGAAUCAUGAAACACAAGGCAAUUGUCAAAAUGACAUAACACCACCUCAAAAGAUGAGAUAUGAAAGAAUUGCACUUCGGAACGCAAGAUGAAGAAUGCUUGAGCUCCUCUUGGCGAACACUUCGAGAACGAAUUAAAUCUUUGAUGAAACAUUAUGUAGAACCUCCAUGAAGAACUCCGGUAACAAAAGAAUGAUCAACCGAAAAGAAGGAGAAGUUGAAAACACAACGUGAAGACUUGCAAUGAUUUAGAUGAAGCUUUGCGACGAGAUAAAGUGGAAACUUGGAACUCCGGAAAAGAAAAGAUAAUGCAUCUCAACCGAGAAUGUGAUAUGAUGAACAAACUCCGGAAAGAAGAAACUAGACCACUUGGAUUAAACAAUAAUAAGAAUUACGUUAUGCGUAUCCUUCACCAAUUAAAUUGAUGACAAGCAAACGGAUUUGGCAUACUACUUAUUCUCGUUGAAAAGAAUUACAGAGGGAUAUAGCGCGAACUUGAGAAGGCCUUCAAUGAACCGCCGGUAGGAUUGAAACAACGAUUGGAUUGAUAUGAUAAACGAAGGAAGAGGAACUCUUGAAUAAACCACCGUAAGAAUUGAAAAUGAACGAAGAGAAGAUAAAGAAACACCGGGAAGAAUUAUAAAAUGAACGAAGAUGCUUGAGAGGAUUUAGAUACAUGAGAACGAAGAGAUCACGAGCCGAUUAGAGAUCACUUGAACGAAACACCGGUAAGAUUGGAGAAUGAUAACUGAAAGCUGAGAAUGAAUAAACCUGAAUUGAUCGAAUCCGGAGAAACAAACUGAAAAGAAUCUUGAAUUGCUCCGGAUAGGUGAAAAGAAUUUUGACAAUCGAAAAACAAUUAUGAGAGGAUGGCCUCUAACUAGAACCACGAAUCUUGAAGAGAAUGGAGCAAGAUUGAGAGAAAAAUUUUCUUCGGUCUUCAAAAUCUGAGAAUUACGACGAGGAACACCACCAUGAAUUAUUAAUGCACUCCGGAAUGAAAAAUGGAAAAGGUUGAGCCAACGAUGAAAAGAAUUUGAAAGAUCUUGGAGAAAAACAUAUGACUGAUGAUGAAUCAUUCUUACGUCAAAACUUCGAAAAAGAAUUUGAGGAUAGCUCCGGACAAAUAAGAAGAGUCAGGUAAGAUCCUGGUAAAAGACCUGUGGGUUAGGGCCCACUCAAAAGAUACAUUGUUGAACGAUUUUUUAAAGAGGGAUUGCACCGGUUGAUAUAAAUGGCUUGAAUGAGAUAACAAACUCGAAAUAGGUUGAACGGAUCUUGAAUGAAAAGACGAGCCUUCUGAGAUAUCUUCAUCACUCCCGAACAAAUGAAUAGUGAGAAGUGAAUGAUUAUGAGGUGCACCGGCAUGAGAAGGCAUUUGAAAAACGGAAAAGAAUAUGAUCAACACCGAAAGUUUGAAUUGGAUCCACCAGAAAAGGAAAGAAUGGAGAAUGAUGAACUUGAAGCUUCGUUAGGACCUUCAUGAGAAUCACCGGAUAAGAAUAUUGACGGAAAAGGAUGGAGAGACUUCACAAGAAUAAAAGGAUACUUGAUUAAUACAUCGAAUUCCUUGAAGAAAAAGGGUGGGAGGGCAGGAAAAGCAAAGGCAGCUUGGGACGAAUGGAACAAACACCGUUGAGAAGAACUGAUAAUUGAUCUUGCUGAUGUUGAAAUGAUCGGGUCCACUUGAAGAGAAGCACACAGGUUAAAAAGGAUUGACAUGACAAACUCGAUGAUCGAGAAGGAUUAGUGUUCACAUCGGGGUAUGAGAACACCGCUUAGGAAAAGGUAUGGAAUCAACAUUUGACUUCGAAGCAACUCGAAUAUCACAACUCAAAACAAAAACAAAGGAUUGGCUUGCAGAAUAAGCCGGAACAAACAUAUGAUAGAGAUUUCGUCCGAAGUUUUCAUGGUGGGGCCCACACGGGCUCGAUCGUACAACACCAUCAUAUACAAGGCAGUGGUAACACCCUCGAUGCGGCUAUAUCUCCCACGUGUCGAAGCACGACUUAGAGGCAUAACCGCAUUGAAAGCAAUGUCGCAAGUGAGGUAAUCUUCACACAACCCAUUUAAUACAUAAGGGAAAAGAUACAUAGUUGGCUUACAAUCGCCACUUCACACAAUACAUGAAUAAAGCAUUACAUCAUCCAGAUACAAUCAAGGUCCGUCUACGGAACCAAAAUAAAAGAAGACUACCCCAAAUGCUACACAGAUCCCCGAUCGUCCCGACUGGGCUCCACUACUGAUCAACUGGAAACGGAACAACACAAAGGACAAGAUCUUCAUAGAGAUCCUCCUUGAGCUUGGUUGCAUCAUCUGCACGGUUCAACGACACCUUCAAACUGGUUUUGGAAGUAUCUGUGAGUCACGGGGACUCAACAAUCUCACACCCUCGCAAUCAAGACUAUUUAAGCUUAUGGGUAAGGUAAAGGUAUGAGGUGGAGCUGCAGCACACGACUAGCAUAUAUGGUGGCUAACAUACGCAAAUGAGAGCGAGAAGAGAAGGCAAAGCACGAUCGAGAAACUAUGAUCAAGAAGUGAUCCUAGAACAACCUACGUCAAGCAUUACUCCAACACCGUGUUCACUUCCCGAAAUCCACCGGAAAGAGACCAUCACGGUUACACACGCGGUUGAUAUAUUUUAAUUAAGAUCAACUUCAGGUUUUCUACAACCGGACGUUAACAAAUUCCCAUCUGCCCAUAACCGCGGGCAUGGCUUUUGAAAGUUCAAAUCCCUGCAGGGGAGUCCCAACUUAGCCCAUCACAAGCUCUCACGAUCAACGAAGGAUAACCCUUCUCCCGAGACAUUCUGAUCAGACUCGGCAUCCCGGUUCUACAAGACAACUUCGACAAGUUAAAACAAAUCCAGCAACACCGCCCGAAUGUGCCGACAAAUCCCGAUAGGAGCUGCACAUAUCUCGUUCUCAGGGCACACUCAGAUUGUCUAAACUUCCGGUAGGCCAGCCCAGAGUUGCCCCUGGUGGCCACCGGCGGCUGACAGGUUGGACCAACACUCAGAGGAGCACUGGCCCGAUGGUUUAAAUAAAGAUGACCCUUGAGUCCGCGGAACCCAAGGGAAAAACAGACUAGGUGGCAAAUGGUAAAACCAAUGUUGGGCAUUGCUGGAAGAGUUUUCUUCAAGGCAAACUGUCAAGGGGUUCCCAUUAUAGCCAAACCACGUAAGGAACGCAAAAUCCGGGAACAUAACACCGAUAUGACGGAAACUAGGGCGGCAAGAGUGGAACAAAACACCAGGCAUAAGGCCGAGCCUUCCACCCUUUACCAAGUAUAUAGAUGCAUUAAUUAAAUAAGAGAUAUUGUGAUACCCCAACAAUUAAACAUGUUCCAACAAGGAACAACAUCUCCAUGUUCCAACAAGGAACAAACUUCAAUCUUCACCUGUAACUAACAACGCUAUAAGAGGGGCUGAGCAAAGCGGUAACAUAGCCAAACAACGGUUUGCUAGGACAAGGUGGGUUAGAGGCUCAAUAUGGGUGACAUAGGCAAAGUGGUAACAUAGGCAAAGCGGUAACAUAGGCAAAGCGGUAACAUAGCCAAACAAUAUGGGUGGCAUGAUAAGCAAGUGGUAGGUAUCGCAGAAUAGGCUUAGCAAAAGAGCGAGCAACUAGCAAGCAAAGAUAGAAGUGAUUUCGAAGGUAUGGUCAUCUUGCCUGAAAUCCCGCAAGGAAGAAGAGCGAGUCCACAAAGAAGACAAACGGACGUAGUCGAACGGAUCCUCACAACUCCGGAACGGAACCGAAGCUCACGAGAAAGGCAAACUGGAAAGAAGCAAACAACAUAGUAAACAACCACUACAACAACAUGGCAUGAUGCACAACAAGUAUGAUGCAUGUCCGGUUUAAUGAAGCAUGGCAUGGAAACGUGCACAAGCAAUCCUACAAAUUAAGUGGAGCUCAAUAUACAACAAGUUGCAUAUUGAUGAAACACCACGACAAGUUAUUUAGUCCGAUCUCGUUUAUGUAUCCAACAAUAUUAAAUGUUGUUAAACAUGGCAAGAGGGUGAAGCAAAGUAAAACUACCUAUCUAGUCAAGUUUAAAUGAGGCCGGAAGCAACGAACAACAAUUCCGGUAAAUCCCCAUACGCCUUAGCAAUUUAUUGCAACAACAAUUUAAACAUUUUAAAUGUUGUUAUUAUGAUGCGGAGGACAUGUUCAAGAUUAUGCAAUUUUAAUGAAAAUGUUGAUAACAACAUUAUGAAGCAUUUUGUCAUCGUGGCGGAAACGAAAAGGGGUGCCACAACAACGAUAACAAUAACGGUGCCACGGCAACGUUCCGGUUCCGGUACUUGAUUGAGAUACCGAUGCAAAGGGGAAGUGUGCGGAUGCGUGCAAAAGAUGGUGGGGCGCUCCCGGGUUCCGGGUGUCCCACGAGGUGGCGACAAGGAAACGAGUGACAAUUUGGACACGGUGCAAACAUGAGCAUCCCAAACAUCGCAAGCAUUCGUUCACGGACGUCGUCUCGGGGUUAUACCUUCGAAGCGUGCAAUCGGGAUGGUUCGGGUUCGUCGAGGGAAGUAGAGGAAGUAGUUGUACAAUUGGACCACGGCGAGGGUAGUUGUACAUGUAGGCAGUAGACGAACUUGACGGUUCCGUUACCCGGUUCUUCGGAGAUGGAAGUAGUCGUACACGUUCGGUAGAUGUUCAUGUCAUCGGUGUCGUGGUACUUGGGGUCUUCGGACUCUCCGGUCCCGUUCUUGCGACGGCAGUCAUUCACGUUUGUUCAGAGAGGUACUAGACGCACCCCGGAUCUGUAGUCGUACACGCACGUAGAUGAACUUGGCGGGUCCUCGACGUCCUAGUACUUGGCGUUAUUUCCGGUUCAGUGAUCGUUUUAGGCGUCGGGCGUCGAGGCCUCCGGCCAUAGUGGUACUUGGUGAAUCCUGAAACGGUCUUGGCAUCUUCGCACGUAGGGGUACUUGUUCGUUUACUUCACGGUCUUGGCAGAUCCACGCGAUGGUAGUGGUACUCGCGAAGAGGUACUCGGCGGUCAUCGUGUAGAUGUUCACGUGUCUUUGGCGACACCAAGAUGCAUCUUGGCGGUCUCGUCUCGGUCUUCAAUCCAAAACGAAGCAAGGCAAAAACUCGGGGCGGUGGUACUUGACUCGGGCAGGGGCAACACUGGAGAUGACGAGUUGCUGCUAAGCAGGGGAAGUCGACGCGGGGCUGCAGCAGAGAGACUCCGGUGAACUUGCUGGGUCAAGGCGAGGUCGCCGGCAGCAGGGGCUGCGACACGAGCGGCGGCCUCCUGCUGGUCGCGGAUGGCGGCGUUGCAGAAGGGGCAGUGGCAGCAGGGCUCGGGAUCCCGCGUCCAGAUCAAGCAGGGUGAGGGAGCUGCAGUCGGGAGGCUCGGGCGAAGCGCAGAGAGGCGUGACGAGGCGGGGCAAGGGCCGGCGACGAGGCAAGGCAACGAAGGGAGCCUACGAUGAAGGAAAGGGAGACGAGCACAGGGAGAUGGGCGGCUCUGGGCAGUCGUCCGGGUCGCGGAGGAGGGUGGGGAGGCGUCGCAGGCCUGGUGAUCGGGAGCUCGAGGUGACCGGGUUGGAGAAAGGAGGGCAGGUAGGGAGGAUGAGGGGGAGAGGGAAAGAGGUAGCUGCACUGUAGACCAGGGAGGACGACGUCUGCGGGCGCGGGGCCUCGCUCCUCCCCCUGGCGAUGCAAGGAAGAAGGAGGGGAUCGAGGGCGAUGGCUUCUGGCGGCGGCGAUGGGAACGAGGAAAAGAGGGAGCGAGGCUGCGAGGGAGAUGGGGGAGUCGGGCUAGGUUUACAGCAGUUAGGUUGUAACACCCUCGAUGCGACUAUAUCUCCCACGUGUCGAGGCACGACUUAGAGGCAUAAUCGCAUUGAAGGCAUAUGUCGCAAGUUAGGCAAUCUUCACAACAUCCCAUGUAAUAUAAUAAUGAAAGGGGAGAUAACAUAGUUGGCUUACAUUCUCCACGUCAAUCAAGUACAGAAAUAACAUUACAUCAUCCAAACACUCAUGGCCCGACUACGGCGCCAAAAUAAAAGAGAACCCAACAUGCGACACGGUCCCAAUCACCCCCAACUGGGCACCACUACUGAUCAUCGGGAAAGGUAACAUAGUAACGUUGAGAGUCUUCGUCGAACUCCCACUUGAGCUCAAACGCAUCUCCUGGAGCGGAAUCAUCAGGCCCUGCAUCUGGUGUAAUAGUAAUCUGUGAGCCACAGGGACUCAGCAAUCUUGCACCCUCGCGAUCAAGACUAUUUAAGCUUAUAGGUAAGGCAGGGUAAAUAUAUGUGGAGCUGUAGCAAGCGACUAGCAAGUAUGGUGGCUAACAUAUUCGCAAAAGAGAGCGAGAAGAGGAGGCAAAGCGCGAGCGAGAAACUAGAGAGCAACAUGCGCAAACAUUACUCCAACACCGUGUCCACUUCCCGGACUCCGCCGAGAAGAGGCCAUCACGGUAACACACUCGGUUGAUUCAUUUUAAUUAAGUUAAGGUUCAAGUUAUCUACAACCGGACAUUAACAAAUUCCCAUCUGCCCAUAACCGCGGGCAUGGCUUUCGAAAGUUCAAAUCCCUGCAGGGGAGUCCCAACUUAGCCCAUGACAAGCUCUCACGGUCAAUGAAGGAAUAGACCUCCUCCCAAGACGUUCCGAUCAGACUCGGUAUCUUGGUUCUUCAAGACACUUCGACAGGUUAAAACAAGACCAGCAACACCGCCCGAAUGUGCCGACAAAUCCCGAUAGGAGCUGCACAUAUCUCAUUCUAAGGGCACACUCAGAUAGAUCAAGCUACGAGUAAAACCAACCCUCAAGUUUCCCCGAGGUGGCCCCGCAGGCUGCCCGAUUCGGACCAACACUCAGAGGGAGCACUGGCCCGGGGGGGGGGGAGGGGGGGGUUAAAAUAAGAUGACCCUCGGGCUCCGGAAACCCAAGGGAAAAAGAGGCCAGGUGGCGAAUGGUAAAACCAAGGUUGGGCAUUGCUGGAAAAGCUUUAAUCAAGGCGAACUAUCAAGGGGUUCCCAUUAUAACCCAACCGCGUAAGGAACGCAAAAUCCGGGAACAUAACACCGAUAUGACAGAAACUAGGGCAGCAAGAGUGGAACAAAACACUAGCCUUCCACCCUGUAGGAUCGAAAGUAUGUCUAGAGGGGGAGUGAUUAGACUACUUGACCAAAUAAAAACUUAACCUUUUCCCAAUUUUAGUUCAUGGCAGAUUUUAGCUAUUGUAGGACAAGUCAAGCAAUCAUCACACAAUUCAAGCAAGUAUGCAAAGAGUAUAUUGGCAGCGGAAAGUAAAGCAUGCAACUUGCAAGAAUGUAAAGGGAAGGGUUUGGAGAAUUCAAACGCAAUUGGAGACACGGAUGUUUUUCCCGUGGUUCGGAUAGGUGGUGCUAUCCUACAUCCUCGUUGAUGGAGACUUCAACUCACGAAGGGUAACGGUUGCGCGAGUCCACGGAGGGCUCCACCCACAAAGGGUAACGGUUGCGCGAGUCCACGGAGGUCUCCACCCACGAAGGGUAAUGGUUGCGCGAGUCCACGGAGGGCUCCACCCACGAAGGGUCCACGAAGAAGCAACCACCCACAAAGGGUCCACGAAGAAGCAACCACCCACAAAGGGUCCACGAAGUAGCAACCUUGUCUAUCCCACCAUGGCCAUCGCCCACGAAGGACUUGCCUCACUAGAGGUAGAUCUUCACGAAGUAGGCGAUCUCCUUGCCCUUACAAACUCCUUGGUUCAACUCCACAAUCUUGUCGGAGGCUCCCAAGUGACACCUAGCCAAUCUAGGAGACACCACUCUCCAAGAAGUAACAAAUGGUGUGUAGGUAAUGAACUCCUUGCUCUUGUGCUUCAAAUGAUAGUCUCCCCAACACUCAACUCUCUCUCAUAGGAUUUGGAUCUGGUGGAAAGAAGAUUUGAGUGGAAAGCAACUUGGGGAUGGCUAGAGAUCAAGACUCGUAUAGUAGGAAUGGAAUAUCUUGGUCUCAACACAUGAGUAGGUGGUUCUCUCUCAGAACAUAUGAGUUGGAAUUAUGUAUCUAUUAUGAUGGCUCUCUCCACGAAUGAAGAGGAGGUGGAGGGGUAUAUAUAGCCUCCACACAAAAUCCAACCGUUACACACGGUUUUCCAAUCUCGGUGGGACCGAAUCAAAAAACUCGGCCGGACCGAAAAGGUAAACCUAGUGACCGUUAGAGAUUUUCGGUGGGACUGACAUGCAACUCGGUAGGACCGAUAUGGUUAGGGUUUGGGCAUAACGUAAUCUCGGUGAGACCGAUUACACAAACUCGGCGAGACCGAUUUUGGUAAUAAGCUAACCAGAGAGUUGGUCAGGCAAACUCGGUGGGACCGAUUUGCUCUUUCGGUGAGACCGAAAAGUUACAAAAAGGAAACACUGAAUUUACAUUGCAAUCUCAGUGGGACCGAUUCGCUCUUUCGGUGAGACUGAAAACUUACGAAAGGGAAACAGAGAGUUUGCAAUCCCAUCUCGAUGAGACCGAGAUCCCUAUCGGUAGAACCAAAUUGCUAGGGUUUGGCAGUGGCUUAUGACAAAUGAAACUCGGUGGCGCCGGAUAGAAAGAAUUGGUAGGACCGAGUUUGGCUUAGGGUUUAGGUCAUAUGUGGAUAUGGGAAAGUAGUUGAGGGUUUUUGGAGCAUAUCACUAAGCACAUGAAGCAAGAGGUUCAUUAAGCAACACCUCAUCCCUCCUUGAUAGUAUUGGCUUUUCCUAAAGACUGAAUGUGAUCUUGGAUCACUAAAAUAUAAAAUGAAGAGUCUUGAGCUUUUGAGCUUGAGCCAAUACUUUGUCCUUAGCAUUUUGAGGGUUCCACUUUCACAUCCAUGCCAUGCCAAUCAUUGAGCUUUCCUGAAAUAAUCAUCUUGGAAUAGCAUUAGCUCAAUGAGCUAUAUGUUGUUAUGAAUUACCAAAACCACCUAGGGAUAGUUGCACUUUCAAUCUCCCCCUUUUUGGUAAUUGAUGACAACAUAUAGAUCAAAGCUUCGACAAAUGAUAAUAAGCAUGAAAUAUAUCGUCGCUUUGAGAAGUAUGUGACAAGUGAGAGCUCCCCCUAAAUUUGUGCAUAUUUAAAAUUUGCUUUGGACUGCAAAUGCACAAAGAGUUAGAGUCAUGGGUUACUCUUCCAUGUCACAUACAUCUUGGUGGAGCGCUUAAAAUGAUAAAAAUGAAAUACAUGCACUCAUCACCAAGAAUAGUGAAUGAUCACAUAAGAUAUAUAAGAUAUAUCAAGCAUGCAUAAGUGUAGCUUAUGAUCAAACACAUGGUUAUCAAUGUCUCACGAGCAAUGACAUAGUAUCUCAAGCACUCAAAAGCAAACAAAGUUCGAAAAACCACCAAAUAAAGCAAGAGAGAAAAAAGCAACACUCUCUCUCUCGAAGCCUAUGAUCUAUACGUUUUCUCCCCCUUUGGCAACAAGUUACCAAAAAGUUCCUAGAAAAUGCAUAGUGCUAAGUCGACACUCAGGCUUGAUCUUCAGGUGGUGGUGGAGUCCGGAGCACUCCAAGGACGAAGCCUUCUGUAGACGUGGUUGGAGUUGAGGCUGAAGUGGACGCUGGAGCUGGUGGAACUGAGGCUAUAGCUGGUGCAGAUGUGGUGGCUCUGGGGUCAGCAACUGGCACUGCAGACGACCUCGGACCUCGUGGCACUCUGGCAAAGCCAUCAGUUGUAGUCUUGCCUCUCCUCUCCUGCAUGUCAUCCUGGAGCUGCUCCACUGCAGUCUGAAUCUCUGUCACUUUGACAUCCAAGUCAUAGAACUUUUGUUCCAUGAUUCUCUCUAGACUUGCCUGGUUCUGAGUUAGGGUAGCUAGUCCUUGCUCAAUCCGCAGGGUGGAUGCAAUCAAGUAACCAAGCUGCUCUUGUUUGGUUUUCAGGAAAUAUUCAGAUGCCACCUCUUGAGUAGGCAUCUUGGCAGCUUUCUCCUUCCUCGCCUUCUCCUUCUUCGCUUGUGCUUGGGCAGAUGAUGGCUCAUUCUCAGUCAUGACCACUUGAUUAUCUUCAAAAUCUGGAUGGAUGGGCAGGUGUUCCUUGUCCAAUAAGUAUAUCCCCGUGCCCGUCUUAGAGUUGAUGAGCUGCUGGAUUUGUGGGGCAUAUCCACAGCUCCUCUUCUGGUCUGCUGCUGUCCUCUUGAUUGUUUCAAUCAUAAGGCUCAUGACUUUGAAUUUCUGUGGCACGUCAAAGAUAUGAAGCAAGUUGAUCGCGUGGCCCCUGAUCAUCUUGUGAUCUCCAGACUUGGGCAAUAGGGUGUGCCUAAGAAUCCAGUUGAUGGUUGGCAGCCCUGACAGAAGAUAGUGUACUGAGCCAAACUUGAACGUAUCAAGUGCUUCAUUUGGAAUCUCCUUGUACAUGUUUGACAUUGAGUUGUGGUCCAUCUUCUUCUUGGCAUAAAUGUCCAAGUCAUCAUCAUGCUCUUCUGGGGCAUUAAUCAGCUGAGACCAUUCAGCAACUGUAGACUGGUACCUCGUACCCUCUGACAUCCAUACAGUCCUGCCAUCUGGAUAUAAAUGGGCUGUGGAGUAGAACUGCAUGAUGAGUUCCUCGUUCCACUUUGUGAGCUUCUGCCCAACAAAGUCCUCUACUCCACAUGCCUUGAAGCUGUCCUGCACUCCAGGGUAGUACUCUUCGUUGUCCUUGAUGUAUUGCCAAUCAACCCAUCUCAUAUCACAGACAAUUAGCUUCUUGUCUAGCAGCACUGUCUCAUAAAAGUCUUGCUGCUCCUUGGUGUGAAACCUGUAGUCAACUGCAGUCCUUCUCCUUGAAGCAUACGGGUCUGCUUCUCUCCACUUCCGGAGCCCUGAAUCUCUCCUGAGUUUCAUAUCCUCAGCCACAGGAUGAGCAUCAUUGUGGUCUGGGAUCUUGGGCUUGAGCUUUCUAAGAACAUUCUCUUCUUCUUCUUCUUCUGCAGCUUCAGGCACUGGGGCCUUGUUCUUCUCAGUAGCUGGGAUGCUUCUUGUGUUCCUCUUUGGCUUUGGCUUUGGAGCUGGCUUGACCUUGGAAGCAGCUGCCCCUGUUCUUAUGGCAUCACCCAUCAGCUUGGGUGCCUUAGGUGCUGGUGCAGCUACCUCUUCUUCUUCCUCCUCAUCUUCCAUGAUGGAAGCCUUGCCAAGCACUCUGGCUACAGUUUUCUUCACCCUUUAUUUCCUCUUCUUGCCUUCAGCAGCAACAGGCUCAAUGGGAGUGGGCUUCUCAGUUAAAGCUCUGGCCUUUGACAUAGGCUGCCUGCCUGCUGGCCUUUUGAUCUUCAUCCCUGGUUUUAUGCCCUGUGCUGGCUCAACUCUCUUGGAAGUUGCUUCCUCUUCUGCCACAUAAUCCUCAUCUUCUGAGUCUGAGGUUCUCUUCUUUCUCUGUCUUGUGGCAGCUUUAGGCAGAUUGCUAGGGGUGCUCCUGCUGCCAUCAUCUGAGGAACUUGAGGGACUAGUGCCCUCACUCAUCUGCACUUGCUGCUCUAACAAGUUCUGGCUAUCACUUUGGUCUGACAUGAUGCAAACUCUGACUGCUGACCCUGUGAAUAGGUUAUAGAUGAGAUAGAGUGGAUAAGCAUCACAAAAUGCAGAGAUUUUUGCAAAAUAAUAAUUAAAAAACUUAGUUUUAGUUCCCACUGAAAGCAUCUCGGAUCUACCGAUUUUUAAACUCGGUGAUACCGAAGCAGUUUUGGAACCUAAACUAGUGAACUCGGUCAGACCGAGUCACAGUUCGGUGGCACCGAGACUGCUAGGGUUUCACAGAGUUCCAAAAUCGGUCACACCGAUAAGUAAUUCUCAGUCAGACCGAGUCUCACUUGUGCAAUGGCAUAAGCCAAAUCUGUGGGACCGAGUUUUUCAACUCGGUGGGUCCGAGAUGGUUUCGGCGGAAACCUAACCCUAAAAUUUUCGAAUCAAAACUAAUCUACGAACGCAUUGACUGGACAGGAGUGUUUCAAUCGUGGCAAGAAUCAUGAUGAUCACAAUGUGCUAAGAAUCAGAUUGGGGAAUAGCACAAAGAUCGAGUCCAUACCCUAGUUCGGCGGAGACUCGCUACGGUGGCAACGGCGGGGCAGAAUUUCCGUUGACGGCGACGGAGACCAGCGACUGGAGGCGGCUGGCGGCGAGGAGACGAUCCGGAGACCAAGUUGGCAGAGCAGGCUAUCGCGCGGGCGAAGGGGUUCGGAGAAAUUUCCAAAUUUUUGCCCGUGACUAUAUAUAGCCCGACCCUGUCGGUGUGACCGAGUGGAACGACUCGGUGGCACCGAGAUGCAAAACUGUAUGCAAUUAUUGCAACUCGGUGUGACCGAAUGGUUCAAAUCGGUUGCACCGAGAUCGAAAACAUAGAUCAACUUAAUUAUCUCGGUAGGACCGAAAGUAGGGUAUCGGUCAGACCGAGAAUCAUAAAGAGGUUUUGGAAGUUUAAGUCUAUGACGAAUCGGGGACUCCGAGCGCUCCUCACACAGAGUGGUUCGAAUCUGACUUGAUCAAAUUUUGUGAUGUAGCAUGAAUAGAGUUUGAGACGAGAAAAGCAUAGAUAGCUAGAGGAGGUUCUUAGGCAUUCUUGUCCAUCCACUUGGCAAAAGGAACUAAAAACGAACAAUCAAAACAACAAGUGGAUGUCCUCGAAUGAGUAAAAUAUGCAACCAGCAUGCUCACACAAUAAGAUGGCAAAUGAAAUAUGUGACAAGGCAUGCACAACCAACUCUAGCAUCUACCAAGCAAUUUGCGAUGACAAGGUCAUCUAUAUAUGAGUAUAUUGACUUAGGAGUCAAGUGAGAACACUUGAUCAUAGGUCAUACUCAUCGUUUAAGCUCAAGUGGGGUUACCACUUUUACAUAAAGCAUUGUUGUGUUCACAUCUUUAGAGUUGCUUUAGCUCAAGUCUUAGAGUAAAGCUCCCCCUAGAUGUGAUAUCCCCCCUUAGAGGGAUGAACUAACCUUGGGUUUUGUCGAUGAUGACUUCAUGUAGAUGUUGAAGAUGUGGAUGCUCAAUGUUGAUGUAGAUCACUUGGAGCUAUCCCUUUGAGUGAAUUGCACUUUCAAUACCUACAUGGGUUAGUCCCGCAAGGAACAAACAAGGAUAUCCAUAGACAUAGAGUGAUGCACACACAAGAUGAUGUCCAUGAAAACUUUUAGGUUACCUUGUCCCUUGUCUUACCAACAAGAGGGUUUGUGACUCCUUGAACUAGUGCAAGAUGUGGAAGUUGAUUGCACUUGUUCUUGCCAAAAUGAUAAGAGUGAAGUAUGUUGGCGGAGUCACCCUCAAGAACUCUCUAGUUCUUCUUCUUUUGGAUCCACACCAUCUUGAUGGGAAUCCUUGGAGUUGUAGUCGUACUUGAUGAAGUGGAACUUGAAGUAGUCUUGGGAAUCCACUUGACUAAGGUCUUAGGGGCUUCUUCAAAUGCAUCAAUUUCCUCUUGAAGCUUGUCCUUGCCUUUUUGCUUGUAGUCUUGUGGUGGAAGAUCAUCUUGAGCUUGUGUCCCCUUGAAAGAAGUAUCAUACUUUUCUUGUUGAGGAACAAACUUUGUCUUGGGGUAUUGAUCUUCUUCCCACUCAACUCCAUUGGCAUUGAACUUUCGUUCAAAACCAACACCUUGAUUCUUCCGGUGCAUUCCUUGCUUGCGCACAAUUUCCUCGAAUUGCUUACUCCCGGCAAGGCUUUUGUACACUCCUUUCUCUAUAAUUCCCUUCAAUAAGCUAUUUUCUUGCUCAAGUGUAACUUGGCUAAGAGAAUCAUUAGUGGAAUCAAGAGAACUACUAGAAGCAACAAUAUUGGAUUUAGCAUGAUCAUUGUUACUGCUAGAGGAAGAAUCUUUCUUGUUCUUGUUACUAGACUUGACUUGAGGCAUGUAAGUGGAUAAGAGUAAACGCUUGGCAAUGUAAGGAGAACUUUUCUUGCGGAGAUCAUCAUUGAUUGCUUUUAAGAACUCAUGCUCUUGCUCAAGAUUGAGCUUUUCAAAGCGUAAUUUCUCAUGAGCUCUUAAAAGUUCUCGAUGAUCUUCGAAGAUAGUUUCAUGAGCUAACUUAAGAGUGUUUAGUUCUUUAGUUAGAGCCUCAAUCUUCUCCUUAUCAUUGUCGUUCGUUUUAUCUUGAUUAGCAUGAUUAAUUGACGUUUCAUCAUAGUAUUCAUCACUAGAGUUGUCAACAAGCAAAUCAUCACCUAACAAGUCAUCUUCAUCACUAUUGAAAUCAACAUACUCGGGGUGUGUUACCUUUGGACAUUUGGUAAUGAAGCAUCUUCCAAUUCCUUCAUUUGGUGAGUCAAUGAUGUCGUAGGAGUUGGUUGACACAAGUGCUAGACCGGCAACACCUUCAUCUUGAGUAUCUUCGGAGUCGGAGUGAUAACUUCUCUCGGAGUGGCUGUCGGAGUCGGAGCCGGAUACCCAUUCACCAACAUGAGCUUGAUGUCUUCGUUUUGUGUAGCUCCUUGAUGAUUUUUACUUCCUUUCCGAAUCCUUGCUUCUCCGUGAGUAUCUUCGUUCAUAACGAUCAUCUCUAAUCCUUCUCUCUCUUGGUGGUGAUUCUUUGCUUCUUCUUUUUGGAGAAUCUUCUCUUCUCUUGUAGGGAGCCGUACACUCAUUGGAAUAGUGUCCGGGUCUUCCACAACUGUAGCAGUUUCGCUCUCGACUAGAAGAUGUUUUGUCAUUGUAGGACCUUGACUUGAAGCUUCUAUCUUCACUUCUACUCUUGUAGAACUUGUUGAAGUUCUUCACCAUUAAGCUCAAUUCUUCAUUGAAGUUUUGUUUCUCACUUGAUGAUGUAGGGGCUUCACAUGAGGCUUUGUAGGCACCACUUGAUUUGUUGUGAAGUUCCUCUUUAUCCUUAAGUGACAUCUCAUGAGCAACAAUUCUUCCAAUCACCUCCGUUGGCUUGAGAUCUUUGUAAUUGGGCAUCAUUUGGAUCAAUGUGCACACGGUAUCAUAUUUUCCAUCCAAGGCUCUUAGAAUCUUCUUGAUGAUGAAUCUAUCGGUCAUCUCUUCACUUCCUAAGCCGGCAAUCUCAUUUGUGAUGAGAGCAAGCCUAGAGUACAUUUCAGCGACACCUUCACCAUCCUUCAUUUUGAACUUGUCAUGUUGACUUUGAAGCACAUCCAACUUGGAUUCCUUGACGGAGUCGGUACCUUCGUGCAUAUCAAUCAAAGUGUCCCAAAUUUCCUUUGCAUUCUCAAGACGGCUGAUUUUGUUGAAUUCUUCGGGGCACAAUCCGUUGAAGAGAAUAUCACAAGCUUGAGCAUUGUAUUGCAACAUCUUCAACUCAUCCGCGGUAGCUUCACGGUUUGGUUCUUUCCCAUCAAAGAAGUCACCUUGCAAACCAACACACACAAUAGCCAAACGGCGGGGUUAUGUCCAAGAAUAUGCAUUUUCAUUUUAUGCUUCCAACUAGCAAAAUUAGUACCAUCAAAGUAAGGACCUCUACGGUGAUAAUUUCCCUCGCUAGACGCCAUACUCUCCUAGGUUGUGAAACCAAGGCUAUGACCACCAAAGGCUAUGGAGAUCAAAGCAAAUGGAGACCAAAGCUCUGAUACCACUUGUAGGAUCGAAAGUAUGUCUAGAGGGGGGGGGGUGAUUAGACUACUUGACCAAAUAAAAACUUAACCUUUUCCCAAUUUUAGUUCUUGGCAGAUUUUAGCUAUUGUAGGACAAGUCAAGCAAUCAUCACACAAUUCAAGCAAGUAUGCAAAGAGUAUAUUGGCAGCGGAAAGUAAAGCAUGCAACUUGCAAGAAUGUAAAGGGAAGGGUUUGGAGAAUUCAAACGCAAUUGGAGACACGGAUGUUUUUCCCGUGGUUCGGAUAGGUGGUGCUAUCCUACAUCCACGUUGAUGGAGACUUCUACCCACGAAGGGUAACGGUUGAGCGAGUCCAUGGAGGGCUCCACCCACAAAGGGUAACGGUUGCGCGAGUCCACGGAGGGCUCCACCCACGAAGGGUAAUGGUUGCGUGAGUCCACGGAGGGCUCCACCCAUGAAGGGUCCACGAAGAAGCAACCACCCACAAAGGGUCCACGAAGAAGCAACCACCCACAAAGGGUCCACGAAGUAGCAACCUUGUCUAUCCCACCAUGACCAUCGCCCACGAAGGACUUGCCUCACUAGCGGUAGAUCUUCACGAAGUAGGCGAUCUCCUUGCCCUUACAAACUCCUUGGUUCAACUCCACAAUCUUGUCGGAGGCUCCCAAGUGACACCUAGCCAAUCUAGGAGACAUCACUCUCCAAGAAGUAACAAAUGGUGUGUAGGUAAUGAACUCCUUUCUCUUGUGCUUCAAAUGAUAGUCUCCCCAACACUCAACUCUCUCUCAUAGGAUUUGGAUCUGGUGGAAAGAAGAUUUGAGUGGAAAGCAACUUGGGGAAGGCUAGAGAUCAAAACUCAUAUAGUAGGAAUGGAAUAUCUUGGUCUCAACACAUGAGUAGGUGGUUCUCUCUCAGAACAUAUGAGUUGGAAUUGUGUAUCUGUUCUGAUGGCUCUCUCCACGAAUGAAGAGGAGGUGGAGGGGUAUAUAUAGCCUCCACACAAAAUCCAACCAUUACACACAGUUUUCCAAUCUCGGUGGGACCGAAUCAAAAAACUCGGUCGGACUGAAAAGGUAAACCUAGUGACCGUUAGAGAUUUUCGGUGGGACUGACAUGCAACUCGGUAGGACCGAUAUGGUUAGGGUUUGGGCAUAACGUAAUCUCGGUGAGACCGAUUACACAAACUCGGUGAGACCGAUUUUGGUAAUAAGCUAACCAGAGAGUUGGUCAGGCAAACUCGGUGGGACCGAUUUGCUCUUUCGGUGAGACCGAAAAGUUACAAAAAGGAAACACUGAAUUUACAUUGCAAUCUCGGUGGGACCGAUUCGCUCUUUCUGUGAGACCGAAAACUUACGAAAGGGAAACAGAGAGUUUGCAAUCCCAUCUCGGUGAGACCGAGAUCCCUAUCGGUAGAACCGAUUUGCUAGGGUUUGGCAGUGGCUUAUGACAAAUGAAACUCGGUGGCGCCGGAUAGAAAGAAUCGGUAGGACCGAGUUUGGCUUAGGGUUUAGGUCAUAUGUGGAUAUGGGAAAGUAGUUGAGGGUUUUUGGAGCAUAUCACUAAGCACAUGAAGCAAGAGGCUCAUUAAGCAACACCUCAUCCCUCCUUGAUAGUAUUGGCUUUUCCUAAAGACUGAAUGUGAUCUUGGAUCACUAAAAUAUAAAAUGAAGAGUCUUGAGCUUUUGAGCUUGAGCCAAUACUUUGUCCUUAGCAUUUUGAGGGUUCCACUUUCACAUCCAUGCCAUGCCAAUCAUUGAGCUUUCCUGAAAUAAUCAUCUUGGAAUAGCAUUAGCUCAAUGAGCUAUAUGUUGUUAUGAAUUACCAAAACCACCUAGGGAUAGUUGCACUUUCAAUCUCCCCCUUUUUGGUAAUUGAUGACAACAUAUAGAUCAAAGCUUCGACAAAUGAUAAUAAGCAUGAAAUAUAUCGUCGCUUUGAGAAGUAUGCGACAAGUGAGAGCUCCCCCUAAAUUUGUGCAUAUUUAAAAUUUGCUUUGGACUGCAAAUGCACAAAGAGUUAGAGUCAUGGGUUACUCUUCCAUGUCACAUACAUCUUGGUGGAGUGCUUAAAAUGAUAAGAAUGAAAUACAUGCACUCAUCACCAAGAAUAGUGAAUGAUCACAUAAGAUAGAUAAGAUAUAUCAAGCAUGCAUAAGUGUAGCUUAUGAUCAAACACAUGAUUAUCAAUGUCUCAUGAGCAAUGACAUCGUAUCUCAAGCACUCAAAAGCAAACAAAGUUCGAAAAACCACCAAAUAAAGCAAGAGAGAAAAAAGCAACACACUCUCUCUCUCGAAGCCUAUGAUCUAUACGUUUUCUCCCCCUUUGGCAACAAGUUACCAAAAAGUUCCUAGAAAAUGCAUAGUGCUAAGUCGACACUCAGGCUUGAUCUUCAGGUGGUGGUGGAGUCCGGAGCACUCCAAGGACGAAGCCUUCUGUAGACGUGGUUGGAGUUGAGGCUGAAGUGGACGCUGGAGCUGGUGGAACUGAGGCUGUAGCUGGUGCAGACGUGGUGGCUCUGGGGUCAGCAACUGGCACUGCAGACGACCUCGGACCUCGUGGCACUCUAGCAAAGGCAUCAGUUGUAGUCUUGCCUCUCCUCUCCUGCAUGUCAUCCUGGAGCUGCUCCACUGCAGUCUGAAUCUCUGUCACUUUGACAUCCAAGUCAUAGAACUUUUGUUCCAUGAUUCUCUCUAGACUUGCCUGGUUUUGAGUUAGGGUAGCUAGUCCUUGCUCAAUCCACAGGGUGGAUGCAAUCAAGUAACCAAGCUGCUCUUGUUUGGUUUUCAGGAAAUAUUCAGAUGCCUCCUCUUGAGUAGGCAUCUUGGCAGCUUUCUCCUUCCUCGCCUUCUCCUUCUUGGCUUGUGCUUGGGCAAAUGAUGGCUCAUUCUCAGUCAUGACCACUUGAUUAUCUUCAAAAUCUGGACGGAUGGGCAGGUGUUCCUUGUCCAAUAAGUAUAUCCCCGUGCCCAUCUUAGAGUUGAUGAGCUCCUAAAUCUAUGGGGCAUAUCCAUAGCUCCUCUUCUGGUCUACUGCUGUCCUUUGAUUGUUUCAAUCAUAAGGCUCAUGACUUUGAAUUUCUGUGGCACGUCAAAGAUAUGAAGCAAGUUGAUCGCGUGGCCCCUGAUCAUCUUGUGAUCUCCAGACUUGGGCAAUAGGGUGUGCCUAAGAAUCCAGUUGAUGGUUGGCAGCCCUGACAGAAGAUAGUGUACUGAGCCAAACUUGAACGUAUCAAGUGCUUCAUUUGGAAUCUCCUUGUACAUGUUUGACAUUGAGUUGUGUUCCAUCUUCUUCUUGGCAUAAAUGUCCAAGUCAUCGUCAUGUUCUUCUGGGGCAUUAAUCAGCUGAGCCCAUUCAGCAACUGUAGACUGGUACCUCGUACCCUCUGACAUCCAUACAGUCCUGCCAUCUGGAUAGAAAUGGGCUGUGGAGAAGAACUGCAUGAUGAGUUCCUCGUUCCACUUUGUGAGCUUCUGCCCAACAAAGUCCUCUACUCCACAUGCCUUGAAGCUGUCCUGCACUCAAGGGUAGUACUCUUCAUUGUCCUUAAUGUAUUGCCAAUCAACCCAUCUCAUAUCACAGACAAUUAGCUUCUUGUCUAGCAGCACUGUCUCAUAAAAGUCUUGCUGCUCCUUGGUGUGAAACCUGUAGUCAACUGCAGUCCUUCUCCUUGAAGCAUACGGGUCUGCUUCUCUCCACUUCCGGAGCCCUGAAUCUCUCCUGAGUUUCAUAUCCUCAGCCACAGGAUGAGCAUCAUUGUGGUCUGGGAUCUUGGGCUUGAGCUUUCUAAGAACAUUCUCUUCUUCUUCUUCUUCUGCAGCUUCAGGCACUGGGGCCUUGUUCUUCUCAGUAGCUGGGAUGCUUCUUGUGUUCCUCUUUGGCUUUGGCUUUGGAGCUGGCUUGACCUUGGAAGCAGCUGCCCCUGUUCUUAUGGCAUCACCCAUCAGCUUGGGUGCCUUAGGUGCUGGCGCAGCUACCUCUUCUUCUUCCUCCUCAUCUUCCAUGAUGGAAGCCUUGCCAAGCACUCUGGCUACAGUUUUCUUCACCCUUUCUUUCCUCUUCUUGCCUUCAGCAGCAACAGGCUCAAUGGGAGUGGGCUUCUCAGUUAAAGCUCUGGCCUUUGACAUAGGUUGCCUGCCUGCUGGCCUUUUGAUCUUCAUCCCUGGUUUUAUGCCCUGUGCUGGCUCAACUCUCUUGGAAGUUGCUUCCUCUUCUGCCACAUAAUCCUCAUCUUCUGAGUCUGAUGUUCUCUUCUUUCUCUGUCUUGUGGCAGCUUUAGGCAGAUUGCUAGGGGUGCUCCUGCUGCCAUCAUCUGAGGAACUUGAGGGACUAGUGCCCUCACUCAUCUGCACUUGCUGCUCUGACAAGUUCUGGCUAACACUUUGGUCUGACAUGAUGCAAACUCUGACUGCUGACCCUGUGAAUAGGUUAUAGAUGAGAUAGAGUGGAUAAGCAUCACAAAAUGCAGAGAUUUUUGCAAAAUAAUAAUUCAAAAACUUAGUUUUAGUUCCCACUGAAAGCAUCUCGGAUCUACCGAUUUUUAAACUCGGUGAUACCGAAGCAGUUUUGGAACCUAAACUAGUGAACUCGGUCAGACCGAGUCACAGUUCGGUGGCACCGAGACUGCUAGGGUUUCACAGAGUUCCAAAAUCGGUCACACCGAUAAGUAAUUCUCAGUCAGACCGAGUCUCACUUGUGCAAUGGCAUAAGCCAAAUCUGUGGGACCGAGUUUUUCAACUCGGUGGGUCCGAGAUGGUUUCGGCGGAAACCUAACCCUAAAAUUUUCGAAUCAAAACUAAUCUACGAACGCAUUGACUGGAUAGGAGUGUUUCAAUCGUGGCAAGAAUCAUGAUGAUCACAAUGUGCUAAGAAUCAGAUUGGGGAAUAGCACAAAGAUCGAGUCCAUACCCUAGUUCGGCGGAGACUCGCUACGGUGGCAACGGCGGGGCAGAAUUUCCGUUGACGGCGACGGAGACCAGCGACUGGAGGCGGCUGGCGGCGAGGAGACGAUCCGGAGACCAAGUUGGCAGAGCAGGCUAUCGCGCGGGCGAAGGGGUUCGGAGAAAUUUCCAAAUUUUUGCCCGUGACUAUAUAUAGCCCGACCCUGUCGGUGUGACCGAGUGGAACGACUCGGUGGCACCGAGAUGCAAAACUGUAUACAAUUAUUGCAACUCGGUGUGACCGAAUGGUUCAAAUCGGUUGCACCGAGAUCGAAAACAUAGAUCAACUUAAUGAUCUCGGUAGGACCGAAAGUAGGGUAUCGGUCAGACCGAGAAUCAUAAAGAGGUUUUGGAAGUUUAAGUCUAUGACGAAUCGGGGACUCCGAGCGCUCCUCACACAGAGUGGUUCGAAUCUGACUUGAUCAAAUUUUGUGAUGUAGCAUGAAUAGAGUUUGAGACGAUAAAAGCAUAGAUAGCUAGAGGAGGUUCUUAGGCAUUCUUGUCCAUCCACUUGGCAAAAGGAAAUAAAAAUGAACAAUCAAAACAACAAGUGGAUGUCCUUGAAUGAGUAAAAUAUGCAACCAGCAUGCUCACACAAUAAGAUGGCAAAUGAAAUAUGUGACAAGGCAUGCACAACCAACUCUAGCAUCUACCAAGCAAUUUGCGAUGACAAGGUCAUCUAUAUAUGAGUACAUUGACUUAGGAGUCAAGUGAGAACACUUGAUCAUAGGUCAUACUCAUCGUUUAAGCUCAAGUGGGGUUACCACUUUUACAUAAAGCAUUGUUGUGUUCACAUCUUUAGAGUUGCUUUAGCUCAAGUCUUAGAGUAAGGCUCCCCCUAGAUGUGAUAUCCCCCUUAGAGGGAUGAACUAACCUUGGGUUUUGUCGAUGAUGACUUCAUGUAGAUGUUGAAGAUGUGGAUGCUCAAUGUUGAUGUAGAUCACUUGGAGCUAUCCCUUUGACUGAAUUGCACUUUCAAUACCUACAUGGGUUAGUCCCGCAAGGAACAAACAAGGAUAUCCAUAGACAUAGAGUGAUGCACACACAAGAUGAUGUCCAUGAAAACUUUUAGGUUACCUUGUCCCUUGUCUUACCAACAAGAGGGUUUGUGACUCCUUGAACUAGUGCAAGAUGUGGAAGUUGAUUGCACUUGUUCUUGCCAAAAUGAUAAGAGUGAAGUAUGUUGGCGGAGUCACCCUCAAGAACUCUCUAGUUCUUCUUCUUUUGGAUCCACACCAUCUUGAUGGGAAUCCUUGGAGUUGUAGUCGUACUUGAUGAAGUGGAACUUGAAGUAGUCUUGGGAAUCCACUUGACUAAGGUCUUAGGGGCUUCUUCAAAUGCAUCAAUUUCCUCUUGAAGCUUGUCCUUGCCUUUUUGCUUGUAGUCUUGUGGUGGAAGAUCAUCUUGAGCUUGUGUCCCCUUGAAAAAAGUAUCAUACUUUUCUUGUUGAGGAACAAACUUUGUCUUGGGGUAUUGAUGUUCUUCCUACUCAACUCCAUUGGCAUUGAACUUUCGUUCAAAACCAACACCUUGAUUCUUCCGGUGCAUUCCUUGCUUGCGCACAAUUUCCUCGAUUUGCUUACUCCCGGCAAGGCUUUUGUACACUCCUUUCUCUAUAAUUCCCUUCAAUAAGCUAUUUUCUUGCUCAAGUGUAACUUGGCUAAGAGAAUCAUUAGUGGAAUCAAGAGAACUACUAGAAGCAACAAUAUUGGAUUUAGCAUGAUCAUUGUUACUGCUAGAGGAAGAAUCUUUCUUGUUCUUGUUACUAGACUUGACUUGAGGCAUGUAAGUGGAUAAGAGUAAACGCUUGGCAAUGUAAGGAGAACUUUUCUUGCGGAGAUCAUCAAUGAUUGCUUUUAAGAACUCAUGCUCUUGCUCAAGAUUGAGCUUUUCAAAGCGUAAUUUCUCAUGAGCUCUUAAAAGUUCUCGAUGAUCUUCGAAGAUAGUUUCAUGAGCUAACUUAAGAGUGUUUAGUUCUUUAGUUAGAGGCUCAAUCUUCUGCUUAUCAUUGUCAUUCGUUUUAUCUUGAUUAGCAUGAUUAAUUGAUGUUUCAUCAUAGUAUUCAUCAAUAGAGUUGUCAACAAGCAAAUCAUCACCUAACAAGUCAUCUUCAUCACUAUUGAAAUCAACAUACUCGGGGUGUGUUACCUUUGGACAUUUGGUAAUGAAGCAUCUUCCAAUUCCUUCAUUUGGUGAGUCAAUGAUGUCGUAGGAGUUGGUUGACACAAGUGCUAGACCGGCAACACCUUCAUCUUGAGUAUCUUCGGAGUCGGAGUGAUAACUUCUCUCGGAGUGGCUGUCGGAGUCGGAGCCGGAUACCCAUUCACCAACAUGAGCUUGAUGUCUUCGUUUUGUGUAGCUCCUUGAUGAUUUUUACUUCCUUUCCGAAUCCUUGCUUCUCCGUGAGUAUCUUCGUUCAUAACGAUCAUCUCUAAUCCUUCUCUCUCUUGGUGGUGAUUCUUUGCUUCUUCUUUUUGGAGAAUCUUCUCUUCUCUUGUAGGGAGCCGUACACUCAUUGGAAUAGUGUCCGGGUCUUCCACAACUGUAGCAGUUUCGCUCUCGACUAGAAGAUGUUUUGUCAUUGUAGGACCUUGACUUGAAGCUUCUAUCUUCACUUCUACUCUUGUAGAACUUGUUGAAGUUCUUCACCAUUAAGCUCAAUUCUUCAUUGAAGUUUUGUUUCUCACUUGAUGAUGUAGGGGCUUCACAUGAGGCUUUGUAGGCACCACUUGAUUUGUUGUGAAGUUCCUCUUUAUCCUUAAGUGACAUCUCAUGAGCAACAAUUCUUCCAAUCACCUCCGUUGGCUUGAGAUCUUUGUAAUUGGGCAUCAUUUGGAUCAAUGUGCACACGGUAUCAUAUUUUCCAUCCAAGGCUCUUAGAAUCUUCUUGAUGAUGAAUCUAUCGGUCAUCUCUUCACUUCCUAAGCCGGCAAUCUCAUUUGUGAUGAGAGCAAGCCUAGAGUACAUUUCAGCGACACCUUCACCAUCCUUCAUUUUGAACUUGUCAUGUUGACUUUGAAGCACAUCCAACUUGGAUUCCUUGACGGAGUCGGUACCUUCGUGCAUAUUAAUCAAAGUGUCCCAAAUUUCCUUUGCAUUCUCAAGACGGCUGAUUUUGUUGAAUUCUUCGGGGCACAAUCCGUUGAAGAGAAUAUCACAAGCUUGAGCAUUGUAUUACAACAUCUUCAACUCAUCCGCGGUAGCUUCACGGUUUGGUCCUUUCCCAUCAAAGAAGUCACCUUGCAAACCAACACACACAAUAGCCCAAACGGCGGGGUUAUGUCCAAGAAUAUGCAUUUUCAUUUUAUGCUUCCAACUAGCAAAAUUAGUACCAUCAAAGUAAGGACCUCUACGGUGAUAAUUUCCCUCGCUAGACGCCAUACUCUCCUAGGUUGUGAAACCAAGGCUAUGACCACAAAAAGCUAUGGAGAUCAAAGCAAAUGGAGACCAAAGCUCUGAUACCACUUGUAGGAUCGAAAGUAUGUCUAGAGGGGGGGGGGUGAUUAGACUACUUGACCAAAUAAAAACUUAACCUUUUCCCAAUUUUAGUUCUUGGCAGAUUUUAGCUAUUGUAGGACAAGUCAAGCAAUCAUCACACAAUUCAAGCAAGUAUGCAAAGAGUAUAUUGGCAGCGGAAAGUAAAGCAUGCAACUUGCAAGAAUGUAAAGGGAAGGGUUUGGAGAAUUCAAACGCAAUUGGAGACACGGAUGUUUUUCCCAUGGUUCAGAUAGGUGGUGCUAUCCUACAUCCACGUUGAUGGAGACUUCAACCCACGAAGGGUAACGGUUGCGCGAGUCCACGGAGGGCUCCACCCACAAAGGGUAACGGUUGCGCGAGUCCACGGAGGGCUCCACCCACGAAGGGUAAUGGUUGAGCGAGUCCACGGAGGGCUCCACCCACGAAGGGUCCACGAAGAAGCAACCACCCACAAAGGGUCCACGAAGUAGCAACCUUGUCUAUCCCACCAUGGCCAUUGCCCACGAAGGACUUGCCUCACUAGCGGUAGAUCUUCAUGAAGUAGGCGAUCUCCUUGCCCUUACAAACUCCUUGGUUCAACUCCACAAUCUUGUCGGAGGCUCCCAAGUGACACCUAGCAAAUCUAGGAGACACCACUCUCCAAGAAGUAACAAAUGGUGUGUAGGUAAUGAACUCCUUGCUCUUGUGCUUCAAAUGAUAGUCUCCCCAACACUCAACUCUCUCUCAUAGGAUUUGGAUCUGGUGGAAAGAAGAUUUGAGUGGAAAGCAACUUGGGGAAGGCUAGAGAUCAAGACUCAUAUAGUAGGAAUGGAAUAUCUUGGUCUCAACACAUGAGUAGGUGGUUCUCUCUCAGAACAUAUGAGUUGGAACUGUGUAUCUGUUCUGAUGGCUCUCUCCACGAAUGAAGAGGAGGUGGAGGGGUAUAUAUAGCCUCCACACAAAAUCCAACCGUCACACACAGUUUUCCAAUCUCGGUGGGACCGAAUCAAAAAACUUGAUCGGACCGAACAGGUACACCUAGUGACCGUUAGAGAUUUUCGGUGGGACUGACAUGCAACUCGGUAGGACCGAUAUGGUUAGGGUUUGGGCAUAACGUAAUCUCGGUGAGACCGAUUACACAAACUCGGGGAGACCGAUUUUGGUAAUAAGCUAACCAGAGAGUUGGUCAGGAAAACUCGGUGGGACCGAUUUGCUCUUUCGGUGAGACCGAAAAGUUACAAAAAGGAAACACUGAAUUUACAUUGCAAUCUCGGUGGGACCGAUUCGCUCUUUCGGUGAGACCGAAAAGUUACGAAAGGGAAACAAAGAGUUUGCAAUCCCAUCUCGGUGAGACAGAGAUCCCUAUCGGUAGAACCGAAUUGCUAGGGUUUGGCAGUGGCUUAUGACAAAUGAAACUCGGUGGCACCGGAUAGAAAUAAUCGGUAGGACCGAGUUUGGCUUAGGGUUUAGGUCAUAUGUGGAUAUGGGAAAGUAGUUGAGGGUUUUUGGAGCAUAUCACUAAGCACAUGAAGCAAGAGGCUCAUUAAGCAACACCUCAUCCCUCCUUGAUAGUAUUGGCUUUUCCUAAAGACUGAAUGUGAUCUUGGAUCACUAAAAUAUAAAAUGAAGAGUCUUGAGCUUUUGAGCUUGAGCCAAUCCUUUGUCCUUAGCAUUUUGAGGGUUCCAUUUUCACAUCCAUGCCAUGCCAAUCAUUGAGCUUUCCUGAAAUAAUCAUCUUGGAAUAGCAUUAGCUCAAUGAGCUAUAUGUUGUUAUGAAUUACCAAAACCACCUAGGGAUAGUUGCACUUUCACACCCUUUACCAAGUAUAUGGGUGCAUUAAGAUAACAAGAUAAUAUAAUGAUAUCCCAACAAGAAAAUAAUAUUCCAACAAGGAACGGCCUUCCAUCUUCACCUGCAACUAGCAACGCUAUAAGAGGGGCUGAGCAAAGCGGUAACAUAGCCAAUCAACGGUUUGCUAGGACAAUGGUGGGUUAGAGGUUUGACAUGGCAAUUUUGGGAGGGUUGCAAGCAAGUGGUAGGCAUCGUAGCAUUGGCAUAGCAAAAGAGCGAGCAAACUAGCAUAGCAAAGAUAGUAGUGAUUUCGAGGGUAUGAUCAUCUUGCCUGCAUAGUUGUCAGAGUUGACUGGAUCCUCGAAAGCAAACUCAACGGGCUCCUCGUUAGCAAACUCGUCUCCCGGCUCUACCCAAACAAGACAAACAAGCAACAAGGAUAGAAUCAACCACGUGCAAGACCAAGCAAUAUGAUGCAAUGAUGAUAUGCUAUGCGGGAUGCGAUGCGGGAUGCAAAAUGCAAGAUAUGACAGGAAAUACAUGAACCUGGCCUCAACAUGGAAAACCAAGUGUGCCACUGGAAAGAUGAGAUGAAAUCGCUUGAAAACGAUAUAAAGAACGCCGGAAUCGGAGUUACGGUUUGGAAAUGGCAAGUGAAACAAAAAUGACUCCGGUCUGCAAAAAUGACUCCGGUCUGCGAUUUACAGCAAGUAGGCAUCUAAAUGCAAUGAGAUGAACAUGCUACAGCAUCCAAACAAGACAACAAAAUACAUGGCAAAAAUGCAUAUGACAAACAGAUCUCAGACUUAGUGAAAUUAACACUUGUCUGGAAUUUCAGAUCAGGUAGCCCUCUUCGGAGCAACAAAACUACAUGCUACAAGAUCUGAACAUGGCAAAGUAAAGCAUGGCAUGGAGCUACUCAAAGAGCUUAACAAAAGUACCUUAGUGACCUUGGGCCAAAAGGGAUCAGAAAAUACAAUUGCAAGCAUGCGAACAUAGCAAAAACAUAAUCAGUUUUCAGACUUAGUGAAAACUGAAACAUGCUGAAAUAUAACUCAAGUAGGCAUGUUUACGAGCUCGAUGCACUCACUACGGUGCAAGUCAUUGAAAGACAAGCAUACAACCAUCAAGAAGGAACAAAAUGCAAUCUAAACAUGGAAAGAACAAUAGCAUAGCAUGCACAUAUCAACUACAACAUCAUCGGCAAAAUUGCAAAACAAGUUGACAAUCUGCCCAGAUUCACAAAGUAGCAAAAGUAGAGCUCGAUUGACUCAAGCUAGGAUGCUCCAUAAAUGCAAACAAAGACAUGGAUGGAUAGAGCACUACAAUAUUAACAAAACAUCCUUACUGAUCAUCCUCAAAAUAGGCAUGGAUCACUAGGAAACAACAAGAAUAUAUGGCAACAUGAGAUAAACAGAUCAAGGACUUAAGUGGAAUUGCUAAGUCCCUGAAAACAGAAUUAGCAAGUGCACCACUUUGCAAGCUUACACAAGACACCACACACAUCACAAAAAUACAUGGGUUGCACCUCUGGAAAGAUGACAAAACCCUUAACAAAACAUAUGUAGAGCAUCAGGGCAUAUCAUGCACACAAUAAUCAUGGCAAAAAUGACAAAAACCUAAACGGAGUAGCAGAUCUGACAAUUAACUCAAGUAGCCCUCUUCUAACAGCAUUUCGGGCAGCAAGAUGAGUUUAAAUGAAAAUGAUGCAAUGGAAUGAAAUGAUGUACUCUCCGAGAUGAAAAUUUUGAUAUACUAUAUGCAUGAAUCGAAGCUACGGUUGCAAAGUUACGGAGCUACGAACAUGGGCACUUGGAUCUAAGAAUUUCGGGACUUAGAGAAAAUUCAACCUCCGAGAUCUAGGGUUACUGCUCACGCACGCGAACCGAGAACUCCGGCGAGGCGGCGGCGGCUCCGGCGAGCUCGAAGAAGCGGUGGGGAGGCGCGGGAGAGGUGGAUCCGGCCACACCCGGCCGGAUCUGGCGGCGGAGGUGGCGGCGGCGGCUGGCGGGGCCUUCGNNNNNNNNNNNNNNNNNNNNNNNNNNNNNNNNNNNNNNNNNNNNNNNNNNNNNNNNNNNNNNNNNNNNNNNNNNNNNNNNNNNNNNNNNNNNNNNNNNNNNNNNNNNNNNNNNNNNNNNNNNNNNNNNNNNNNNNNNNNNNNNNNNNNNNNNNNNNNNNNNNNNNNNNNNNNNNNNNNNNNNNNNNNNNNNNNNNNNNNNNNNNNNNNNNNNNNNNNNNNNNNNNNNNNNNNNNNNNNNNNNNNNNNNNNNNNNNNNNNNNNNNNNNNNNNNNNNNNNNNNNNNNNNNNNNNNNNNNNNNNNNNNNNNNNNNNNNNNNNNNNNNNNNNNNNNNNNNNNNNNNNNNNNNNNNNNNNNNNNNNNNNNNNNNNNNNNNNNNNNNNNNNNNNNNNNNNNNNNNNNNNNNNNGAGAUCCGAAUUUCGGUGGGGGGGGGGGUGUUUAAAUAGGCAUAGAGGGAGCUAGGAGAGUCUAAAUGAGGUGCGGUUUUCAGCCACGCGAUCGUGAUCGAACGAUCUAGAUGAUAGAGAAGACUUAGGUGGGUUUUGGGCCAAAUUGGAGGGGUGUUGGGCUGCAACACACACGAGGCCUUUUCGGUCCCUCGGUUAACCGUUGGAGUAUCAAACGAAGUCCAAAUGAUACGAAACUUGACAGGCGGUCUACCGGUAGUAAACCAAGGCCGCUUGGCAAGUCUCGGUCCAAUCCGAAAAUGUUUAAUUCCCACACACAAAAGAAAUCUAGAAUUGACCACCGGAGGAGAACGAAGCGCCGGAAUGCAAAACGGACAACGGGGAAAAUGCUCGAAUGCAUGAGACGAACACGUAUGCAAAUGCAAUGCACAUGAUGACAUGAUAUGAGAUGCAUGACAAUGACAACAACACAUGAAGACAAAGACCUGAACCCGAGAAUAUAAAUUAAUUUAACGCCGUAAACGGCAAGAGUUGGAGUACAAAUUGGGAAAGUUACAUCCGGGGUGUUACAACACUCCACCACUACGAAAGGAUUUCGUCCCGAGAUCUAGGACUGAAAGAACGCCGGGUACUCAGAACGGAGGUGAUCCUCGCGUUGCCAGGUAGCUUUACGGUCGGAAUGGUGUGACCACUUGACUUUGAGAAAUUUGAUUGACUUGUUGCGAGUCUUGCGUUCAGUCUCUUCACGGAUAGCAACGGGGUGCUCACGGUAAGAGAGAUCUUCUUGGAGCUCAAUGUCCUCGAAGUUGAUGGUGCGGUCAGGAGUCUUGAAGCACUUUCGAAGCUGAGAGACAUGGAACACGUCAUGAACAUUUGCAAAGUUUGAAGGAAGCUCGAGUUGAUAGGCGAGGUCGCCUCUCUUGCUGACAAUCUUGAAAGGUCCCACGUAUCUAGGGGCAAGCUUCCCUUUGAUACCGAAGCGACGAGUACGUUUCAUAGGAGAGACGCGGAGGUAAACAUGAUCUCCGAUCUCGAAAGCCAAAUCAUGGUGCUUACUAUCAUAGUAGCUCUUCUGACGGGAUUGGGCUGCUUUGAGGUUAUCACGAAUGACUUUGCACAUUUCUUCUGCCUCUAUGAUUAAGUCAUUACCCAAAAGCUGACGUUCACCGGUUUCAGACCAGUUGAGAGGGGUACGACACUUCCUGCCAUACAGAAUUUCAAAUGGGGCCUUGCCCGAACUUGCUUGAAAACCGUUUUUGUAGGAGAAUUCAGCAUAAGGAAGACAAUCCUCCCACUUCAUGCCGAAGGAGAUCACACAAGCCCUGAGCAUAUCUUCAAGAAUCUGGUUGACACGCUCAACUUGACCGCUAGUUUGAGGAUGGAAAGCUGUGCUGAAGCGGAUGUUGGUGCCCAUGGCCUUCUGAAAAGAAUCCCAAAACUUCGAGGUAAAGAUGCUGCCACGGUCUGAAGAGAUCACUUGUGGAAUACCAUGCAGAGAGACAAUACAAGAGGUAUAGAGUUCCGCCAAUUGAGCUGCAGUGAUCGACUCUUUGAUAGGCAAAAGGUGAGCCACUUUGGUGAGUUUGUCGAUGACAACGAAUAUAGCAUCAUUGCCACGCUUGGACUUUGGAAACCCAGUCACGAAGUCCAUUUCAAUGUGGUCAAAUUUCCAUUCUGGAAUGGCAAGAGGUUGGAGGAGACCAGCUGGCCUUUGGUGUUCUGCCUUCACUCUUCUACAGACAUCACAUUCAUUCACGAAUUGAGCAAUCUCGCGCUUCAUUCGAGUCCACCAAUAAGCUUGCUUAAGGUCCUGAUACAUCUUCGUGCUCCCAGGGUGGAUGGAGAGGAGAGAAUUGUGAGCCUUGUUCAUGAUCACUUUACGGAGGUCACCUUUGGGUACAACAAUACGAUCCUCGAAGAAGAGAGUGUCCUUGUCAUCAAGGCGGUAGCACUUGUACUUGGGUUGGCUCUUGGCAAUCCCAAUCUUCACCUUUUUCACCAUAGCAUCAAGAAGCUGGGCUUGGCGAAUCUGGUCUUCCAAGGUAGGAGAGACUUGAAGGUUGGCAAGGAAACCUUGAGGAACAACUUGCAUAUUAAGUUUGCGGAAAGCUUCACAAAGCUCGGGUUGAUAAGGCUUGAGAAUCAGACUAUUGCAAUAAGCUUUCCUGCUCAAUGCGUCAGCAAUCACAUUGGCCUUGCCUGGAGUGUACUCAAUACUCGGAUUAUACUCUUGAAUCAUUUCGACCCAUCGAGUUUGCCUGAGGUUGAGAUUAGGCUGAGUGAAGAUGUACUUGAGACUCUUGUGAUCAGUGAAAAUGUCCACUUUUCUUCCCAAUAGAAGAUGUCUCCAAGUCAAAAGAGCAUGCACAACUGCCACCAACUCGAGAUCAUGAGUGGGGUAGUUCUUCUCAUUAGGCUUCAAUUGGCGAGAGGUAUAAGCAACAACUUUCUUCUCUUGCAUCAAUACUGCGCCAAGACCUUGGAGAGAGGCAUCACAAAAGACCUCGUACGGCUUGGAUUCAUCAGGCGGAGUCAGAACUGGAGCAGUGAUCAAUUUCUCUUUCAAAGUGUUGAAAGCAAUGUCACACUCCGAAGACCAAACGUACUUGACGUGCUUCUGGAGAAGAUUAGAGAGAGGCUUCGCAAUCUUAGAAAAGUUUUCAACGAAUCUUCGGCAAUAGCUUGCGAGACCGACGAAGCUACGGAGUUGCUUCACGUUCUGAGGAGGUUCCCAAUUCACAAUUGCAGUCGCCUUCUCAGGAUUCACGACAAUGCCCUUGGUAGAGAUGAUAUGACCAAGAUAAAGAACCUCAUAAAGCCAAAAUUCACACUUGGAGAACUUGGCGUAGAACUGAUGUUCCCUGAGCUUAUCAAGAACCAAACGCAAGUGCUUGGCAUGAUCUUCCUUGUUCUUGGAGAAAACCAGAAUGUCGUCGAUAUAGACCAAAACGAAGUCAUUGGUGUAGGCGUUGAAGAUGAAGUUCAUCAUGCGAGAGAACGUCGGAGGAGCGUUGACGAGGCCAAAAGAAAUAACAGUGUAUUCAUAUGAACCAAAGCUUGUCCUGAAAGCCGUCUUGGGAAUAUCUUCCUCACGGAUACGAAUCUGAUGAUAACCCAUACGGAGAUCAAGCUUGGAGAAUACUUGGGCACCUUUGAGUUGUUCGAACAACUCAUUGAUGUUAGGAAGUGGGUAUUUGUUCUUGAUGGUCUUCUUGUUCAAUGGACGGUAAUCAACACAAAGUCGGUCCAUUCCAUCCUUCUUCUUCGCAAAAAGAACACCACAACCCCACGGAGAAGAACUAGGCCGGAUGAGACCCAUUUUCUCUUGAAUAUCGAGUUGCUUCUUCAGCUCCUUCAACUCUUCAGGUCCGAGCUUGUAAGGACGUUUGCACACAGGUUCCGUGCCAGGCUCAAGAUCAAUAACGAAUUCGACUGGCUGGUGCGAAGGCAUUCCUGGAAGCUCUUCUGGAAAGACGUCUUGAUAUUCACAAACGACUGGAAUUUGCGAGAUGGCAUCCAAUUCACCCUUCUCAUUGAGAGAAAACAGACGAAUGGUAUCAUCACGAGCGGCAAAGACAAUUACAUCCUCAGACGAAUGAGUCAAUUGAAUCUGCCUGGCUGCACAAUCAAGCUGAGCCUUGUGCUUAGAAAGCCAAUCCAUUCCGAGAAUAAGAUCAAUAUCCGAGUUACCAAGAACCAUUGGGGAAGAAAGGAACUUGUAGUCACCCAAGGUGAUAGUAACAUCUGGCACCUCCAUACUUGCACUUAAACGUUUGCCAGGAGAAACGAUAUCCAUUUGUUUACCCAAAUGAGAAGAAACGAACUCAUGCUUGGUAAAAAAUGGCUUUGACAUGAAACAAUGCGAUGCACCAGUGUCAAAAAGAACUCUUGCAGGAAUAUCAUUAACAUGAAGGUUACCCAUGAUCACAUCUGACGAAUCCUCUGCCUGAGCUGCAUUCAUCAAGUUGACCUUGGCGUGCUUGGGGUUAUGCUUGACCACAGCUGUACUUGCCGAUCUGACAGGAGGAGGAGGAGGAAGAUGCCUCUGGUUGAAACACUUGUUGGCAUAGUGACCCUUCUGUUGGCACUUGUUGCACGUGACCUCUGAAAGCGGGCGGUGAUACGGAGCACUCGAUCUUGGAGCUUGAGACAAAGUCUUGUUCUGAAAGCCAGGGUUGGGUGGGUGGGAAGAACCACUGCCACCUUUGCUCUUCUGCUGAUACGGCUGACGGAAUGGAGGAGGAGGAAGCCAAUACUUCUGCUGCUUGGCCACUUGAGUAGAGGAAGAAGGAGUAACAUCUCUGGCUCACUUCUUGGAAGCAUCACACCUCAACUGAGCAGCCUCUUGCUUCAGUGCCAUGUUGUAGAACUCAUCGUAUCUCAAGGGCUCAAAGGGAACAAGAGCGAGCUGGAUUUCUUCUCUGAGACCACCCCUGAACUGAUAUAUCAUGCUCUUCUCAUCAGGGACGUCCUCCUUGGAAAAGCGGGCAAGCUUCUGGAACAACUUGUUGUAGUCAUAGACAGAUAAAGAGCCUUGCUUCAGAUUGCGGAAUUCCUCACGCUUGCUUUCAAGCAUGCUCUGGGGAAUAUGAUGAGCUCGGAAAUCUCAACGGAAAUCAUCCCAAGUGAUAACACGUCCACCUCUGGAGUCCUUGUACUGCUGGAACCAUUCUGCAGCUUGAUCUUUGAGUUGGAAGGAAGCGAACUUGACAAAGUCCUCAGGCCUGAUGUUACUGCACUCGAAAUGCUUGCACAGAUCCACAAGCCAAUCGUCAGCAUCGGUUGCCUCAACACAAUUGCUGAAAGUCUUUGGCCCGUUAGCAAGGAACUGGUUGAGUGUAGCAAAGUGAUUCUGAAUGCUGCAUUGAUUCCCUUGACUGCCUUGAUUGCGCUCUUGAAGAAUUUGCAUGAUUAACUGUGUGUUUGCAUUGGUUGCGGCCAUCACAGCUUGCCAUGCCUCUGGAGGAGGUGGAGGUGGUGGCGGAUCAGGAUUCGGAGUCGUGCGCGUUGGAGGAGCCAUCCUGAAGAGGUUGACCACCAUUAGCACAUUGACAGAGAAAUAUUGAAGCUGAAUCCAACGGAAUGAAAAUUGCAACAUAUAGUCGUCACAUCCGAACAAAAUGAAUGAAUGCUUCCUCUUGAAAUGGUCACAUAUCCAUAAAUUGAGAAGCCACGUAGAAUUAAGGUAGAGAAAUAAAUCAGCAAGGUACGGAUCAAGAAUGAAUAAUCGGUAAGAAAUCCCAAUCUCAAACCAAUAUCCGUGGAAGAAGAACUAGAGCUACUAGAAUUCCCACCUAUGAAACUCCUGAACCUUUUCGGUUAUGCAAUCAGGUGGUGGGGAUACAGGGGAAGCAUAAUAUCUCACCCAAACUAGCAAUUCCUACAUCCAGCUAUAUCCAUCCUUCAACACAUAACCAAGAAACCUUCGGAAACCAUCUACCUCAACCUUCGAAAAGCAUCCGUUAUACAAGUUAUGGCGAUACUCCCGAACUCCCGCCCCAGUACUGGGUGGCGUUGAGGUUAUCUCACCAACGAACUGCAUAAAAGAGAUUUUCUAUGUCGGCGUACUAGACUCAGGUAUUCCAGAACUGCAACGAUAAAAUUAUGAUGACAACACCUCAGAGCUCAACUCCACGGGACACUUCCACUAAACCCCUGACAGGAAGCACCAAGACAAUGUUCUCAUCAUAAAACCAUCGGAACGAUUCCAAGAUACCCGCGUGAUCCUAAAUUUUUUUUAGUGAAAUUUGAGAAGAGAAGAAUCAAAACUCUACGUCAGGAUGCCUUACCAGAGCGAUGAGGAGACUGGGAAGUAAAAAGAAUUCCUAAACUCUCCGAUAUAUAAUUCCUAAAUUGACUCAAAACGUUUUUCUAGACAUAACUCGGCCGCUAAAAACGAUCAACCAAUGGGGCUCCUAAGGUCGGGGAAGGCUCUGAUACCAACUUGUAACACCCUCGAUGCGACUAUAUCCCCACGUGUCGAGGCACGACUUAGAGGCAUAAUCGCAUUGAAGGCAUAUGUCGCAAGUUAGGCAAUCUUCACAACAUCCCAUGUAAUAUAAUAAUGAAAGGGGAGAUAACAUAGUUGGCUUACACUCGCCACGUCAAUCAAGUACAUAAAUAACAUUACAUCAUCCAAACACUCAUGGCCCGACUACGGCGCCAGAAUAAAAGAGAACCCAACAUGCGACACGGUCCCAAUCACCCCCAACUGGGCACCACUACUGAUCAUCGGGAAAGGAAACGUAGUAACGUUGAGAGUCUUCGUCGAACUCCCACUUGAGCUCAAACGCGUCUCCUGGAGCGGAAUCAUCAGGCCCUGAAUCUGGUGUAAUAGUAAUCUGUGAGCCACAGGGUCUCAGCAAUCUUGCACCCCCACGAUCAAGACUAUUUAAGCUUAUAGGUAAGGCAAGGUAAAUAUAUGUGGAGCUGCAGCAAGCGACUAGCAAGUAUGGUGGCUAACAUAUUCGCAAAAGAGAGCGAGAAGAGGAGGCAAAGCGCGAGCGAGAAACUAGAGAGCAACCUGCACAAACAUUACUCCAACACUGUGUCCACUUCCCGGACUCCGCCGAGAAGAGGCCAUCACGGUAACACACUCGGUUGAUUCAUUUUAAUUAAGUUAAGGUUCAAGUUAUCUACAACCGGACAUUAACAAAUUCCCAUCUGCCCAUAACCGCGGGCACGGCUUUCGAAAGUUCAAAUCCCUGCAGGGGAGUCCCAACUUAGCCCAUGACAAGCUCUCAUGGUCAACGAAGGAAUAGACCUCCUCCCAAGACGUUCUGAUCAGACUCGGUAUCUCGGUUCUUCAAGACACUUUGACAGGUUAAAACAAGACCAGCAACACCGCCCGAAUGUGCCGACAAAUCCCGAUAGGAGCUGCACAUAUCUCGUUCUCAGGGCACACUCAGAUAGGUCAAGCUACGAGUAAAACCAACCCUCAAGUUUCCCCGAGGUGGCCCCGCAGGCUGCCCGGUUCGGACCAACACUCAGAGGGAGCACUGGCCCCCGGGGGGGGGGGGUUUAAAAUAAGAUGACCCUCGGGCUCCGGAAACCCAAGGGAAAAAGAGGCUAGGUGGUGAAUGGUAAAACCAAGGUUGGGCAUUGCUGGAAAAGCUUUAAUCAAGGCGAACUAUCAAGGGGUUCCCAUUAUAACCCAACCGCGUAAGGAACGCAAAAUCCGGGAACAUAACACCGAUAUGACGGAAACUAGGGCGGCGAGAGUGGAACAAAACACUAGGCGAGAGGCCGAGCCUUCCACCCUUUACCAAGUAUAUAGGUGCAUUAAGAUAACAAGAUAAUAUAAUGAUAUCCCAACAAGAAAAUAAAUAUUCCAACAAGGAACGGCCUUCCAUCUCCACCUGCAACUAGCAACGCUAUAAGAGGGGCUGAGCAAAGCGGUAACAUAGCCAAUCAACGGUUUGCUAGGACAAUGGUGGGUUAGAGGUUUGACAUGGCAAUUUUGGGAGGCUUGCAAGCAAGUGGUAGGCAUCGUAGCAUUGGCAUAGCAAAAGAGCGAGCAAACUAGCAUAGCAAUGAUAGUAGUGAUUUCGAGGGUAUGAUCAUCUUGCCUGCAUAGUUGUCAGAGUUGACUGGAUCCUCGAAAGCAAACUCAACGGGCUCCUCGUUAGCAAACUCGUCUCCCGGCUCUACCCAAACAAGACAAACAAGCAACAAGGAUACAAUCAACCACGUGCAAGACCAAGCAAUAUGAUGCAAUGAUGAUAUGCUAUGCGGGAUGCGAUGCGGGAUGCAAAAUGCAAGAUAUGAUAGGAAAUGCAUGAACCUAGACUCAACUUGGAAAACCUAGUGUGCCACUGGAAAGAUGAGAUGAAAUCUCUUGAAAACGAUAUAAAGAACGCCGGAAUCGGAGUUACGGUUUGGAAAUGGCAAGCGAAACAAAAAUGACUCCGGUCUGCGAUUUACAGCAAGUAGGCAUCUAAAUGCAAUGAGAUGAACAUGCUACAGCAAUCAAACAAGACAACAAAAUACAUGAUAGGGAUGCACACAAGAUGCUUAACAAAAGUCUAGCACUAAGCUACGGCCAAUUCACCCAUUAACAGGUUCAAACAAGCAUCACAAAAAUGCAUAUGACAAACAGAUCAGGUAGCCCUCUUCGGAGCAACAAAACUACAUGCUACAGGAUCUGAACAUGGCAAAGUAAAGCAUGGCAUGGAGCUACUCAAAGAGAUUAACAAAAGUCCCUUAGUGACCUUGAGCCAAAAGGGAUCAGAAAAUACAAUUGCAAGCAUGUGAACAUAGCAAAAACAUAAUCAAUUUUCAGACUUAGUGAAAACUGACACAUGCUGAAAUAUAACUCAAGUGGGCAUGUUUACGAGCUCGAUGCACUCACUACGCUGCAAGUCAUGGAAAGACAAUCAUACAACCAUCAAUAAGGCACAAAAUGCAAUCUAGACAUGGCAAGAACAAUAGCAUAGCAUGCACGGAUCAACUACAACAUCAUCGGCAAAAUUGCAAAACAAGUUGACAAUUUGCCCAGAUUCACAAAGUAGCAAAAGUAGAGCUCGAUUGACUCAAGCUAGGAUGCUCCAUAAAUGCAAACAAAGACAUGGAUGGAUAGAGCACUACAAUAUUAACAAAACAUCCUUACUGAUCAUCCUCAAAAGAGGCACGGAUCACUAGGAAACAAUAAGAAUAUAUGGCAACAUGAGAUAAACAGAUCAAGGACUUAGUGGAAUUGAUGUCCCUGAAAACAGAAUUAGCAAAUGCACCACUUUGCAAGCUUGCACAAGACACCACACACAUCACAAAAAUACAUGGGUUGCACCUCUGGAAAGAUGACAAAACCCUUAACAAAACAUAUGUAGAGCAUCAGGGCAUAUCAUGCACACAAUAAUCAUGGCAAAAAUGACAAAAACCUAAACGGAGUAGCAGAUCUGACAAUUAACUCAAGUAUCCCUCUUCUAACAGCAUUUCGGGCAUCAAGAUGAUCUCAAAUGAAAAUUAUGCAAUGGAAUGAAAUGAUGUACUCUCCGAGAUGAACAUUUUGAUAUGCUAUAUGCAUGAACCGGAGCUACGGAUGCAAAGUUACGGAGCUACGAACAUGGGCACUUGGAUCUGAGAAUUUCGGGACUUAGAGAAAAUUCAACCUCCGAGAUCUAGGGUUACUGCUCACGCACGCGAACCGAGAACUCCGGCGAGGCGGCGUCGGCUCCGGCGAGCUCGAAGAAGCGGCGGGGAGGCGCGGGAGAGGUGGAUCCNNNNNNNNNNNNNNNNNNNNNNNNNNNNNNNNNNNNNNNNNNNNNNNNNNNNNNNNNNNNNNNNNNNNNNNNNNNNNNNNNNNNNNNNNNNNNNNNNNNNNNNNNNNNNNNNNNNNNNNNNNNNNNNNNNNNNNNNNNNNNNNNNNNNNNNNNNNNNNNNNNNNNNNNNNNNNNNNNNNNNNNNNNNNNNNNNNNNNNNNNNNNNNNNNNNNNNNNNNNNNNNNNNNNNNNNNNNNNNNNNNNNNNNNNNNNNNNNNNNNNNNNNNNNNNNNNNNNNNNNNNNNNNNNNNNNNNNNNNNNNNNNNNNNNNNNNNNNNNNNNNNNNNNNNNNNNNNNNNNNNNNNNNNNNNNNNNNNNNNNNNNNNNNNNNNNNNNNNNNNNNNNNNNNNNNNNNNNNNNNNNNNNNNNNNNNNNNNNNNNNNNNNNNNNNNNNNNNNNNNNNNNNNNNNNNNNNNNNNNNNNNNNNNNNNNNNNNNNNNNNNNNNNNNNNNNNNNNNNNNNNNNNNNNNNNNNNCCGCGGGGGCCGGCUCCGGGCUCCCCGGCCCGCGGCGGCGGCGAGGUGGCGGGUGCCACGUGGCGGCUCCGGAGUGGCUGCGGGCGGCGGAGCGGACGCGUCUGGACCGUCCGGACGUGUCCGGCGGCGGCGGAGGAGAAAUCUAGGGUUUCAGGGAGGAAGGAGAUUCGAAUUUCGGGGGGUGUUUAAAUAGGCAUAGAGUAAGCUAGGAGAGUCCAAAUGAGGUGCGGUUUUCGGCCACGCGAUCGUGAUCGAACGAUCUAGAUGAUGGAGAAUACUUAGGUGGGUUUUGGGCCAAAUUGGAGGGGUGUUGGGCUGCAACACACACGAGGCCUUUUUGGUCCCUCGGUUACUCGUUGGAGUAUCAAACGAAGUCCAAAUGAUACGAAACUUGACAGGCGGUCUACCGGUAGUAAACCAAGGCCGCUUGGCAAGUCUCGGUCCAAUCCGAAAAUGUUUAAUCCCCACACACAAAAGAAAGCUAGAAUUGACCACCGGAGGAGAACGAAGCGCCGGAAUGCAAAACGGACAACGGGGAAAAUGCUCAAAUGCAUGAGACGAACACGUAUGCAAAUGCAAUGCACAUGAUGACAUGAUAUGAGAUGCAUGACAAUGACAACAACACACGGAGACAAAGACCCAAACCCGAGAAUAUAAAUUAACUUAACAAUGGAAACGGCAAGAGCUGGAGUACAAAUUGGGAAAGUUACAUCCGGGGUGUUACAUAGGUGGGCCGGCUGGAUGGGCCUAAGUGGCCGGCUAGGCUGGGCCUCUCUUUUCCCUGCCCUACUCUCUUCUAAAAGCAGAAAAGCAAAGAAAGAAAGGGAGAGAAAAAUAAAUGAGUGGACAACAAUUUGGGCAUGGGGAUAAUUUUCCCGAACUCACAAAAAUGAUCUUGAUCCAAGAAAAAUAUAAAUGGGCAUGUGUACAAAGUUUGGAUUGGAACUCGUUUGAAUUAAAUUCAAAUGAGUUUGAAAAAGAAGUGGGCGUUAGAAAGGUCCCAAAAUGUUGAGAUUGUUGGUAGACCUCCGGAAAAAGAUAAAAGAAUUUAUGGUCGAAGUUUGAGGAGCAAACUCGAAGCAGAAAAGACAUGCGAUUAUUUGCAAGUGUGUUCAUGGGUGAUUCCGAAAAUGGAAUAUUCAAUAUAGCUCCCUAAUAUCUGGAGGAUAUGUUAUAAAGAGAAUCAUCAUGUGAAUUCCCUCGGUUUAAAUGGACCGAAGAUCCAUGCAAUAUAUUUAGUUGAUCUGAGAUGCAAAGAUUAAUGACAUGAUGGCAUGAUGACAUGAUGCAAAUGCACAUGAUGCAAAGAUGAAUGCAAUGAACCAAACAAAUCACACGACGAAACCUGGAAACCCUGGAAGAUAUCUGAAGCUCUGGUCUUGGGGCGUUACAACACUCCACCACCACGAGAGGAUCUCGUCCCGAGAUCUAGAAUGGCACCGGAGGGAAAAUGGAAGAGAACUAGAAGAGGUAAAACUAAGUUGCUUCUUUGACAAACGAGUGAAACCAAGAAACCUUGAAAAGUUGAACAAAUUGAAAGAAAGAAUACAACAGAGAUGAACGAAGUUGAAAACACCCCGUUAGAAAAGAGGAACAAGGAAGAACAAUUUCUUAUAGCUCUCCGGUUGAAAAGAGAUACAAGACUUGAUAGGAUGAAAAGGAUUUGAGCAAAGGGGCACGACACUCCGGUUAAACAAGAUAGAGAAGGAAAAAGACUAAUAUAAUUUGGACAGCACUUUGACUGUAAAUGGAAGAAAUUGAACAUGAUCUUGACAAACCGAGAUGAGGAGAGAAAAGAGCAACAUCACAAUGCCUCCGGAACAAAUGUAAGAAUGGAAUCAAAAGAACGGAGGAGAAAACUACAUCUUCUACCUCAAAUGAGCUUUAAAAGCAUCCUUAGGAGAAGGGUCGAACGGAGUUAUUGGAAAGCCAACAACGAAAAGAAUAAGCUUGAUAUGGUCUUAUGGAGUACAUCUCAAAUUAUGAGGUGACAACCUACCACUCACGGGAAAAAGAAUUGGAUUGAUAAGAACAAGGAGACGAGAAGCUAUCUCACCAGUAGGAUAAAUGAAGAACUUGGAUCAUUGAUAAACACCAUAAGAGCGAAGAAAGUGAUGGGUUUAAAUACCUCAUUCUUGACAACAUGUGAAUCAUGAAACAUGAACUCAAAUUAUCAAGAAUGAUAUAAUACCACCUCUAUAGAUACGGAAGGAAGAAUUGCACUCCGGAUUUCAAGAUGAAGAAUACUUGAGUUCCUUAGAAAAGAAUGUUGAUGAACACUUCGAGAAGGAAAUUAAAUCCUUGAUGAAACCAUCAUGUAGAGCCUCCAGUAAUAAAAGGAUGAUCAAACAAAAGGAAAGAGAAAUUGAAAAACACAAGAUGAAACCUUGUAAUGAUUAGAUGGAUCUCCGUGAUAAUUAGAGCUUGGAACUCCAGGAAAGAAAAGAUAAAGCAUCUCGAACUGAGAAUAUGAUAUGAUGAACCACUCCGGAAAAAAGGAAUUAAUCAUUUGGAUGGAACAAUAAUAAGAAUUAUGUUAUGCAUAUCCUUCAACAAUUUAAUUGCUGACAAGCAACGGAUUUGGCAUACUACUUAUCCUCGUAGAAAGAUUAAGAUAGAUAUAGCGCAAACUUGAGAAAGUCUUCGACGAAUCCACCGGUAGGAUUGAAAACAACAAAUGAAUUGAUAUGAUAAAGAAGGAAGAGAAAUCUUAAACGAACUACCGUAAGGAUUGAAAAAGAACGAUCAAAAGAUACCGAAUCACAGGGAAGAAUUAUGAAAUGAACGAAGAUACUUGAGAGAAUUUAGAUACAAGAGGACAAAGGGAUCACGAAUUGAUUAGAGAAUAUUUGAAUGAUGCGUCGGUAAGAUUGGAGAAUGAUAACUGGAAGCUGAGAAAGAAUAACCUAAAAUGAUGGACUCCGAAUAAUCAAACUGAGAAGACUCUUGAAUUGCUCCGGAUAGGAGAAAAGAAUUCUCACUAUCAAAAACAGUUAUGAGAGGAUGACAUCAAGCUAGAGCCAUGAAUCUUUGAUAGAACGAAACAAGAUUAAAGGGAAAACUCUUCUUCGGUCUUCAAAUGCAGAGAAGGAUAACGAGAAACACCACCAAGGAUUAUUUAGGCACUCCGGAAGAAUCAAAAGCGAAGAGAUUGAGCCAACGAUGAAAAGAGUUGGAAAGAUCUUGGAGAAGGGCAUUUGACUGAUGAUAAAUCAUUCUUACGUCAAACUUUGAAAAAAUAAUUUGAAAAGCUCCGGGAAAAUUAAGAAGAGUCAGGUAAGAUCCUGGGAAAAGACCUGUGGGUUAGGGUCCACUCAAAAGAAGCACCGUUGAAAUGAUUUAAAAGAGAGGUUGCACCGGUUGAACUAAAUGGCUAGAAUGAGAUAACAAUCUCGAAAGAGCUUGAAAGGAUUACGAAAGCAGAGUGGAAACACGAAUCUUCAAGAUAUCUUUAGCUCUCCGGAACAAGAGAAUAGCGAGAAAUGAAUGAAUAUGAGGAGCACCGGCAAGAGAAUGUAUUUGAAACGAGGAAAAAGGGAUAUGAUCAACACCAAAAGCUUGAAUUGAAACCACCGGAGAAGAAAAGAAUGAAGGAUGAUGAACUUGAGGUUCCGUUAGGAUCUUCAUAAGAAUCACUGGGUAAGGACAUUGACGGAAAAGAAUUGAGAGACUUCAUAACCAUAAGAUAGAUACUUGAUAAAGAAAUCUUAGUCCUUGAAGAAAAAGGGGUGGGUGGGUGGGAAAAAUAAAGGCAACUUGGAGACGGAUGAAACAACACCGUUGAGAAGAACUAGUAAUAGAUCUUGCUGAUAUUGAAAUGAUUGGCUCCACUUGAAGAGAAGCACACCGGUUGAAAAGGAUUGACAUGACAGACUCAAUGAUCGAGAAGGAUUAGUAUUCACAUCGGAGUAUAAGAACACUAUUUUGGGAAGGUAUGGAAUCAACAUUUGACAUUGAAGCAACUCGAAUACCACAACUGAAAACAAAACAAAGGAUUGGCUUGCGGAAUAAGCCGGAACAAACAUAUGAUAGAGAUUUCCUCCGAAGUUUUCGUGGUGGGGCCUACACAGGCUCAAUCGUACAGCACCAUCAUGUACAAGGCAGUGCACAUGACAUACGAAGCGUCCCCGAGUCGGCAUAGCCAAGGACUCUUUAAGACACAACGAGACCACUGUAAAACCAACCGUGGAUAGGCGGACCACUAGACGUCGAACCCCAAUUUCGUAUCAUACAUCUGUCAGAAAGAUAUCCUAAGAGCUACUUGAAUUCCCACUUAUAAACUCCUGAAAUUUUCUGGUUAUGCAAUCAGGUGUUGGGGAUACAGGGGAAGCAUAAUAUCUCACCCAAAACUAGCAAAUCCUACAUCCAUCUGUAUCCAUCCUUCAACACAUAACCAAGAAACCUUCGAAAAUCGUUUACCUCAACCUUCGAAAAGCAUCCGUUAUACGAGUUAUGGCAAUACACCCGAACUCCCGCCCCAGUACUGGGUGGCGUCGAGGUUAUCUCACCAACAACUGCAUAAAAGAGAUUUUCGAUGUCGGCGAAUCUAAACUCAGGUAUUCCAGAACUGCAAUGAUAAAAUUGUGACGACAACACCUCGGAGCUCAACUCCCCGGGACACUGCCACAACCCCUAAAUGACAGGAGGCGCCAAGAACAAUGUUCUCGUCACAAAUCCAUCGGAACGAUUGCAAGAUACCCGCGUGAUCCUAAAUUUUUUUAGUGAAAUUUGAGAAGAGAAGAGUCAAAACUCUACGUCAGGAUGCCUUACCAGAGCGAUGAAGGGACUGGGGAGUAAAAAGAAUUCCUAAACUCUCCGAUAUAUAAUUCCUAAAUGACUCAAAACAUUUUCUAGACUCAACUCGUCCGCUAAUUCGAUCAAGCAGUGGGGGCUCCUAAGGUCGGGGAAGGCUCUGAUACCAACUUGUAACGCCCUCGAUGCGGCUAUAUCUCCCACGUGUCGAAGCACGACUUAGAGGCAUAACCGCAUUGAAAGCAAUGUCGCAAGUGAGGUAAUCUUCACACAACCCAUUUAAUACAUAAGGGAAAAGAUACAUAGUUGGCUUACAAUCGCCACUUCACACAAUACAUGAAUAAAGCAUUACAUCAUCCAGAUACAAUCAAGGUCCAUCUACGGAACCAAAAUAAAAGAAGACUACCCCAAAUGCUACACAGAUCCCCGAUCGUCCCGACUGGGCUCCACUACUGAUCAACUGGAAACGGAACAACACAAAGGACAAGAUCUUCAUCGAGCUCCUCCUUGAGCUUGGUUGCGUCAUCUGCACAGUUCAACGGCACCUGCAAACUGGUUUUGGAAGUAUCUGUGAGUCACGGGGACUCAGCAAUCUCACACCCUCGUGAUCAAGACUAUUUAAGCUUAUGGGUAAGGUAAAGGUAUGAGGUGGAGCUGCAGCAUGCGACUAGCAUAUAUGGUGGCUAACAUACGCAAAUGAGAGCGAGAAGAGAAGGCAAAGCACGAUCGAGAAACUAUGAUCAAGAAGUGAUCCUAGAACAACCUACGUCAAGCAUUACUCCAACACCGUGUUCACUUCCCGGACUCCACCGGAAAGAGACCAUCACAGUUACACACGCGGUUGAUAUAUUUUAAUUAAGAUCAACUUCAGGUUUUCUACAACCGGACGUUAACAAAUUCCCAUCUGCCCAUAACCGCGGGCAUGGCUUUCGAAAGUUCAAUUCCCAUCUGCCCAUCACAAGCUCUCACGGUCAACGAAGGAUAAACCUUCUCCCGAGACAUUCCAAUCAGACUCGGCAUCCCGGUUCUACAAGACAACUUCGACAAGUUAAAACAAAUCCAGCAACACCGCCCGAAUGUGCCGAAAAAUCCCGAUAGGAGCUGCACAUAUCUCCUUCUUAGGGCACACUCAGAUUGUCUAAACUUCCAGUAGGCCAGCCCAGAGUUGCCCCUGGUGGCCACCGGCGGCUGACAGGUUGGACCAACACUCAGAGGAGCACUGGCCCGGGUGUUUAAAUAAAGAUGACCCUUGAGUCCGCGGAACCCAAGGGAAAAAGAGGCUAGGUGGCAAAUGGUAAAACCAAUGUUGGGCAUUGCUGGAAGAGUUUUAUUCAAGGCGAACUGUCAAGGGGUUCCCAUUAUAGCCCAACCGCGUAAGGAACGCAAAAUCCGGGAACAUAACACCGAUAUGACGGAAACUAGGGCGGCAAGAGUGGAACAAAACACCAGGCAUAAGGCCGAGCCUUCCACCCUUUACCAAGUAUAUAGAUGCAUUAAUUAAAUAAGAGAUAUUGUGAUAUCCCAACAAUUAAACAUGUUCCAACAAGGAACGACAUCUCCAUGUUCUAACAAGGAACAAACUUCAAUCUUUACCUGCAACUAACAACGCUAUAAGAGGGGCUGAGCAAAGCGGUAACAUAGCCAAACAACGGUUUGCUAGGACAAGGUGGGUUAGAGGCUUGGUUCAACAAUAUGGGUGGCAUGAUAAGCAAUUGGUAGGUAUCGCAGCAUAGGCAUAGCAAAAGAGCGAGCAACUAGCAAGCAAAGAUAGAAGUGAUUUCGAGGGUAUGGUCAUCUUGCCUGAAAUCCCGCAAGGAAGAAGAGCGAGUUCAUGAAGAAGACAAACGGAUCCUCACAACUCCGGAACGGAACCGAAGCUCACGAGAAAGGCAAACCGGAAAGAAGCAAACAACAUAGUAAACAACCACUACAACAACAUGGCAUGAUGCACAAUAAGUAUGAUGCAUGUUCGGUUUAAUGAAGCAUGUCAUGGCAACGUGCACAAGCAAUCCUACAAAUUAAGUGGAGCUCAAUAUGCAACAAGUUGCAUAUUGACGAAACACCACGACAAGUUAUUUAGUCCGAUCUCGUUUAUGUACCCAACAAUAUUAAAUGUUGCUAAACAAGGCAAGAGGGUGAAGCAAAGUAAAACUACCUAUCUAGUCAAGUUUAAAUAAGGCCGGAAGCAACGAACAACAAUUCCGGUAAAUCCCCAUAUGCCUUAGCAAUUUAUUGCAACGACAAUUUAAACAUUUUAAAUGUUGUUAUCAUGAUGCGGAGGACAUGUUCAAGAUUAUGCAAUUUUAAUGAAAAUGUUGAUAAGAGCAUUACGAAGCAUUUUGUCAUCGUGGCGGAAACGAAAAGGGGUGCCACGACAAUGAUAACAAUAACGGUGCCACGGCAAUGUUCCGGUUCCGGUACUUGAUUGAGAUACCGAUGCAACGGGGAAGUGUGCGGAUGCGUGCAAAAGAUGGUGGGGCGCUCCCGGGUUCCGGGUGUCCCACGAGGUGGCGACAAGGAAACGAGACACAAUUUGGACACGGUGCAAACAUGAGCAUCCAAAACAUCGCAAGCAUUCGUUCACGAACGUCGUCUCGGGGUUAUACCUUCGAAGCGUGCAAUUGGGAUGGUUCGGGUUCGUCGAGGGAAGUAGAGGAAGUAGUUGUACAAUUGGACCACGGCGAGGGUAGUUGUACAUGUAGGCGGUAGACGAACUUGACGGUUCCAUUAGCCGGUUCUUUGGAGAUGGAAGUAGUCGUACACGUUCCGUAGAUGUUCAUGUCAUUGGUGUCGUGGUACUUGGGGUCUUCGGACUCUCCGGUCCCGUUCUUGCGAUGACAGUCAUUCACGUUUGUUCGGAGAGGUACUAGACGCACCACGGAUCUGUAGUCGUACACGCACGUAGAUGAACUUGGCGGGUCCUCGACAUCCUAGUACUUGGCGUUAUUUCCGGUUCAGUGAUCGUUUUAGGCGUCGGGCGUCGAGGUCUCCGGCCAUAGUGGUACUUGGUGAAUCCUGAAACGGUCUUGGCAUCUUCGCACGUAGGGGUACUUGUUCGUUUACUUCACGGUCUUGGCAGAUCCACGCGAUGGUAGUGGUACUCGCGAAGAGGUACUCGGCGGUCAUCGUGUAGAUGUUCACGUGUCUUUGGCGACACCAAGAUGCAUCUUGGCGGUCUCGUCUCGGUCUUCAAUCCAAAACGAAGCAAGGCAAAAACUCGGGGCGGUGGUACUUGACUCGGGCAGGGGCAGCGCUAGAGAUGACGAGUUGCUGCUGAGCAGGGGAAGUCGACGCGGGGCUGCAGCAGAGAGACUUCGGUGAACUUGCCGGGUCAAGGCAAGGUCGCCGGCAUCAGGGGCUACGACACGAGCGGCGGCCUCCUGCUGGUCGCGGACGGCGGUGUUGCAGAAGGGGCAGUGGAAGCAGGGCUCGGGAUCCCGCGUCCAGAUUGAGCGGGGUGAGGGAGCUGCGGUCGGGAGCCUCGGGCGAAGGGCAGAGAGUUGUGACGAGGCGGGGCAAGGGCCGGCGACGAGGCAAGGCGACGAAGGGAGCCUGCGAGGAAGGAAAGGGAGACGAGCACACAGAGAUGGGCGGCUCUGGCCGGUCGUCCGGGUCACAGAGGACGGUGGGGAGGCGUCGCAGGCCUACUGAUCGGGAGCUCGAGGUGACCGGGUUGGAGAAAGGAGGGCAGGUACGGAGGAUGAGGGGGAGAGGGAAAGAGGUAGCUGCGCUGUGGACCAGGGAGGACGACGACUGCGGGCGCGGGGCCUCGCUCCUCCCCCUGGCGAUGCAAGGAAGAAGGAGGGGAUCGAGGGCGAUGGCUUCUGGCGGCGGCGAUGGGAAUGAGGAAAAGAGGGAGCGAGGCUGCAAGGGAGAUGGGGGAGUCGGGCUAGGUUUAGAGCAGUUAGGUGGGCCGGCUGGAUGGGCCUAAGUGGCCGGCUAGGCUGGGCCUCUCUUUUCCCUCCCCUACUCUCUUUUAAAAGCAGAAAAGCAAAGAAAGAAAGGGAGAGAAAAAUAAAUGAGUGGACAACAAUUUGGGCAUGGGGAUAAUUUUCCCAAACUCACAAAAAUGAUCUUGUUCUAAGAAAAAUAUAAAUGGGCAUGUGUACAAAGUUUGGAUUGGAACUCGUUUGAAUUAAAUUCAAAUGAGUUCGAAAAAGAAGUGGGCGUUAGAAAGGUCCCAAAAUGUUGAGAUUUUUGGUAGACCUCCGGAAAAAGAUAAAAGAAUUUAUGGGCGAAGUUUGAGGAGCAAACUCGAAGCAGAAAAGACAUGCGAUUAUUUGCAAGUGUGUUCAUGGGUGAUUCCGAAAAUGGAAUAUUCAAUAUAGCUCCCUAAUAUCGGGAGGAUAUGUUAUAAAGAGAAUCAUCAUGUGAAUUCCCUCGGUUUAAAUGGACCGAAGAUCCAUGCAAUAUAUUUAGUUGAUCUGAGAUGCAAAGAUUAAUGACAUGAUGGCAUGAUGACAUGAUGCAAAUGCACAUGAUGCAAAGAUGAAUGCAAUGAACCAAAAAAAUCACACGACGAAACCCGGAAACUCUGGAAGACAUCUGAAGCUCCGGUCUUGGGGCGUUACAGCAGUGCACAUGACAUACGAAGCAUCCCCGAGUCGGCAUAGCCAAGGACUCUUUAAGACAGAACGAGACCACUGUAAAACCAACCGUGGAUAGGCGGACCACUAGACGUCGAACCCCAAUUUCAAAUCAUACAUCAAUCGGAAAGAAAUCCUAGGAACUACUUGAAUUCCCACUUAUAAACUCCCAAAAUUUUCCGGUUAUGCAAUCAGGUGUUGGGGAUACAGGGGAAGCAUAAUAUCUCACCCAAAACUAGCAAAUCCUACAUCCAGCUGUAUCCAUCCUUCAACACAUAACCAAGAAACCUUCGGAAAUCAUCUACCUCAACCUUUGAAAAGCAUCCGUUAUACGAGUUAUGGCAAUACUCCUGAACUCCCGCCCCAGUACUAGGUGGCGUCGAGGUUAUCUCACCAACAACUGCAUAAAAGAGAUAUUCGAUGUCGGCGAAACUAAUCUUAGGUAUUCCAGAACUGCAACGAUAAACUUGUGACGAAAACAACUCGGAGCUCAACUCCCCGGGACACUGCCACAACCCCUAAAUGACAGGAGGCACCAAGAACAAUGUUCUCGUCACAAAACCAUCGGAACGAUUCCAAGAUACCCGCGUGAUCCUAAUUUUUUUUAGUGAAAUUUCAGAAGAGAAGAGUCAAAACUCUACGUCAGGAUGCCUCACCAGAGCAACGAAGGGACUAAGUAGUAAAAAUAAUUCCUAAACUCUCCGAUAUAUAAUUCCUAAAUGACUCAAAACAUUUUUCUAGACUCAACAACAGCUGCUAGUUCGAUCAAGCAGGGGGCUCCUAAGGUCGGGGAAGGCUCUGAUUACCAACUUGUAACGCCCUCGAUGCGGAUAUAUCUCCCACGUGUCGAAGCACGACUUAGAGGCAUAACCGCAUUGAAAGCAAUGUCGCAAGUGAGGUAAUCUUCACACAACCCAUGUAAUACAUAAGGGAAAGAGAUACAUAGUUGGCUUACAAUCGCCACUUCACACAAUUACAUGAAUAAAGAAUUACAUCAUCCAGAUACAAUGAAGGUCCGACUAUGGAACCAAAAUAAAAGAAGACUACCCCAAAUGCUACACAGAUCCCCGAUCGUCCUGACUGGGCUCCACUACUGAUCAACUAGAUCGAAACAAGACAAAGGACAAGAUCUUCAUCGAACUCCUCCUUGAGCUUGGUUGCGUCAUCUACACGGUAUCCACGGCACCUGCAAGCUGGUUUUGGAAGUAACUGUGAGUCACGGGGACUCAGCAAUCUCACACCCUCGCUAUCAAGACUAUUUAAGCUUAUAGGAAGGGUAAAAGGUAUAAGGUGGAGCUGCAGCAAGCGACUAGCAUAUAUGGUGGCUAACAUAGGCAAAUGAGAGAGAGAAGAGAAGGCAAAAGCACGGUCGAACGACUAUGAUCAAGAAGUGAUCCUAGAACAACCUAUGUCAAGCAUUACUCCAACACCAUGUUCACUUCCCGAACCCCGCCUAGAAGAGACCAUCACGGUAACACACACGGUUGAUGUAUUUUAAUUAAGGUCAACUUCAGGUUUUCUACAACUGGACAUUAACAAAUUCCCAUCUGCCCAUAACCGCGGGCAUGGCUUUCGAAAGUUCAAAUCCCUGCAGGGGUGUCCCAACUUAGCCCAUCACAAGCUCUCAUGGUCAACGAAGGAUAUUCCUUCUCCCAAGACAAUCUGAUCAGGCUCGGCAUCCAGGUUACAAGACAUCCCCAACAAUGGUAAAACAAGUCCAGCAACAAUGCCCGAAUGUGCCGACAAAUCCCGAUAGGAGCUGCACAUAUCUCGUUCUCAGGGCACACUCAGAUGAGACAUCCUACUAGUACAACCAACCCUCAAGUUUCCCCGAGGUGGCCCCGCAGUCUACUCGGUCGGACCAACACUCAAAGGAGCACUGGCCCGGGGGGUUAAAAUAAUGUUGACCCUUAAGUCUGCAGAACCCAAGGGAAAGAAAAGGCUAGGUGGCGAAUGGUAAAACCAAUGUUGGGCACUGCUGGAGGAGUUUUAUUCAAGGCGAACUGUAAAGGGGUUCCCAUUAUAACCCAACCGCGUAAGGAACGCAAAAUCCGGGAACAUAACACCGAUAUGACGGAAACUAGGGCAGCAAGAGUGGAACAAAACACCAGGCAUAAGGCCGAGCCUUCCACCCUUUACCUAGUAUAUAGAUGCAUUAAUUAGAUAAGAGGUAUUGUGAUAUCCCAACAAAAUAUCCAUGUUCCCACAUGGAACAAGCUCCAAUCUUCACCUGCAACUAACAACGCUAUAAGAGGGGCUGAGCAAAGCGGUAACAUAGCCAAACAACGGUUUGCUAGGGCACGGUGGGUUAGAGGCUUGGCUUCACAAUAUGGGAGGCAUGAUAAGCAAGUGGUAGGAAUCGCAGCAUAAGCAUAGCAAAAGAGCGAGCAACUAGCAAGCCAAGAUAGAAGUGAUUUCGAGGGUAUGGUCAACUUGCCUGAAAUCCCGCAAGGAAGAGAACGAGUCCAUGAAGAAGACAAACGGACGUAGUCGAACGGAUCCUCAC